CAUCAUCACCUUCGGAGGAUUCUAGCAGUCCAUUUUUCCUUCAUAAUGGAGAUCUUGUUGGUCUCAUCUUGGUUUCUAAUCAUUUGACUUAAGCAAAUUAUAACACUUGGAGCCAAGCAAUGAUUAUGGCUUUAAUAGCCAAAAACAAGGUUGAGUUCGUUGAUGUCUACAUCCCUUAACCCGAUGAUGAAGAUCUAUUUUAUGAUACUUGGACCCAAUGCGAUAGCAUGGUAAUUUCUUUGAUUCUAAACUCUAUGGCUAUGUUUCUCGGAAAAUUUAAAGGAAAAUACAAAGGAAAUAAAAUAAAGAGGAAAAGUAAAAGGAAAUAAAAAGUGAAGGAAAAUAAAAAAUAGAGUUAAAAAUGAUAAAUUAUUUUUAUUUGUUAUUUCAAACUCAUUUUAUUUAUUUUAACUCAUCAAUAUAAAGAUUAAAUAAUUUUAAAAUGCAUAAGUUUUUAACUAAUUUUAAUUAUUUUUAAUUUUCUUUAGAAUAUUUUAUAGGACAAUCAAACAUGAAAAAAUCAUUUUUCUUAUCAUUUUUUUCUUUUAUUUGUACUUUCUGAUAACUAAACAUAAACUAUAUCUCGAGAAAUUGCUAACGAAGUAUUCUAAACUUUAUAUCUAUUGUUCCCAAGCAACACAUUAAUCACACUCCAGGUUUCUAAAAGUAAUUUUUAAAUGUUUGUUAAAUACUAAUUUCUAUAAGGAAAUAUUUUCCCCAACUUAGAUAACCUCUCUCAUAUGGAAAUGGAAAGAUGAUGAAAGAAGGGUGAGUACAAGAAAAGGGAAGUUAGACGAAGGAAGGGGUAAAGAAGAAAUAGCCAAAAAAUAAAUUUUUCAAACUGACUCAUAAUUUGAUUGGAUACAAGUUAAUUUAAGCAUUAAGUUUUAUUUAUUUUAAAAAAAAUCAAAACAAUUAUAUAUAAGUCUUAAAAUGUCGGUUUGACUUGAUUUUUAUCGAAGAGGAGAGGAAGGAAACUAAAAACUAAAUCAAUAAAGUUGGUUAUAAAAAUUUGAAAACCUAAUCAACUUUUGUGGUUAUUGCAAAUCAAACCAAAAUAAUCGAUUUUUCGAUUUUACUUAGACCCUAUUUGAUAUUCAUAGUUUGUAUAAAUUUUAAAAUAAUUUUUUUAUACUUUUUAUAUUUUCUUGAAUUCUAAUGUUAUGUUUAUGCAUUUUCAAAUUAAUUAUCUUUAUAUAAAUAAGAUAAAUAAAUGAAAUGAUUUACAAAGACAUGUAAAUCAAAAAUUUUAAAUUUUAAAUUCAAUGUAAGAGUGAUCAAAUCCCAACCCAAACACUUAUCAUUUGAUAAUUAAAAUAAUUAAGUAAUUAUUAUUAUAAAAAUAAUGACAUGGCUUUCUUAUCUCUUAAAAUCACUUCCAAAUAUUCUUAAAUAUUAUUUAAAUGUAUUACGGUAGUAUAAGAUGAAGUCCUAUUAGCUUUAUUUUGAAUAAAUUUAAAAUAUUUAGGAAUUGAAAUUCUAUUUUAUUAUGAGUCAUAUUUUAAUUGUUUGUUUUAAAUAUCUAUGAAUUUAAUAUGUUGAAUUGGUCUUUGGAGUGUGAUUAAACAAAAGUUAAGUCCUAUUGCAUUUCUUAUGACACACGUUUUAAGAUAUUUGAUUAUUUUAAAACGUUCACAAAGUUCUUUUUUUUUUUGUAAAUAUUAAUUAAAAUGUUUUUUUAAACUAUAUUAUGGUUAAGUUUCAUUUACAAAUAACUUAACUAAAGAAAAUUUUCUCUGUUUUUUUUAUUAUUAUAUUUAUCACUUAAAUUUUGGGUAAAAAAAUUCAAGUAGGAUAAAACAAUAUUAUAAAUUUUAUUCGUGAAACACAUUCGAAGUAUUUUAAUCAUUUUUAUAAUUAUAUUUGUCACUUAAAUUUUGGGUAAAAAAAUUCAAGUAGAAUUAAAAAAUAUUAUAAAUUUUAUUUGUGAAACACAUUCGAAGUAUUUUAAUCAUUUUUAUUAUUAUAUUUGUCACUUAAAUUUUGGGUAAAAAAAUUCAAGUAGGAUAUAAAAAUAUUAUAAAUUUUAUUCGUCAAACACAAAUCGAAGUAUUUUAAUCAAAAUCACUUCCAAAUUUGGUUAUUAGCUAAUGGGCAAAUUACACAAUGGAUAAACACCAUAAAAUUAGACCAACAUACAUAAUGGGCAAGAUGUUGAAACUCUAGAUAUUUCCAAAAAAGAUGUUAGCUUAUCAUUGGAUUUUUGAAUAUUUUCCCCAACUUAGAUAACCUCUCUCAUAUGGAAACGGAAAGAUGAUGAGAGAAGGGUGAGUACAAGAAAAGGGAAGUUAGACGAAGGAAGGGGUAAAGAAGAAAGAGCCAAAAAUGCUUUGAAAUGACUUGAGAGAAGAAUUCAAAGAGAGUGAGAGAGGGAAUUUGGCUUCAAAGAUAUGAAAAAUAAAAAAAAAUUAUUAUGGGCUGAAAAUAAGACUUGUCUUAUAAGAAAUAGUAAAAAUUUACUUAACUCAAAUACGACAUGUUUAUCUGCUUUGAAUAAUUCAAUAAGACCUAUCUAAUCCAUUAACAUGAUUCUAAUUUAUUAAACCCGUUAACACAAUUUUAUUUCAUUAAAUGUGUUAACACUACUAUAACCUUAUUUAAUGUAUUUAAAAUUUAAAAUUUUUAAAUAUAUUAUUUUAAAAUAUUUUUUUAUUGAUUUAACAUAAUAGUUUUAUUUUUAAAAUUUUUAAUUAUUUUAAUUAUUUAAUUUUAAUUAAUAAAAUAACAAGUGAAUUAAAAUUUUAAUUUUGUACUCAUCUACUAUUUUAUUUAAUGUUUUAAUUAUAAAAUAUUUUUAAUCUUUAUAAUAAAUUUAUGUGGAUUAUUCAAAUCAAAAUGGAUUAGGUCAUAAAUGGGUUGUAAGUGAUUAAAUUAUAAACGAGUCAUUUGAUACAAUUAAAUUAACAAAAUUACAUCUAAUUUGAAUGGUUAAACUCAAAUAUAAUCUAAUUAUUAUAAUGAUAAUAUAGAUUUGAAUUAUGAUAUCAAUACCUAUUAUAUCUAUAGGGGUGCAAUAAUAUUAUUCUUAAGCUUAAAGAUGGAUCGCUCAAAUGAUGGCUCUUAGAAUAAGGUAACAGGAUAUGAUAUCAAACGCUAUUAAAGAUUCAACCUAUCUUUAUCAAAUAUCAAUUGAUUUUUAAAUGAGAUGAUUAAAACCCGAUCCUACAAGCGACCAUCAUUCUUAAACCUAAAUAGGUUACUCAAAUGAUGGUUAACAAUACCUUUUUCAAAUCUUAAAAUAGGUUAUCGAAAUGAUGAUUCUUAGAAUAAGUCUACGGGAUAUCAUAUCUAAUUUUAAUUCAAAUUCAUUAAAAUUAUGGACAAGAUUUCAUCUUAGUUGAAUUCAUUAAAAUAUGCGUAGAUUUAAAAGUCGUAGGAAGGAAAACGUAUUAAAAUUCCACCCAUGAGCUAACAAGUGUAGAAAAAAGAAGAGUCCCCUGCCUAGAAAAGUCAACCCUAGAAUUAGGGGUGGGCGGCCUAGAAACUAUUCAACCUUUGACCAUUGACAUUGAUAUCUCUGAAUUUGAAUUUUCAUGAUUUAGGGGAAUCUUCAUAGUCGAGGAAGAACUGUUCCACCAUAAACUAUUAUAUAGUGGUUGAAACAGGAACCUUGAAAUUCAAGUCAUCACCCACAUGUUGACACCAACUCCCUUGCAGUUUCCCUGUAAACCAAUCAAGGUCAACAAGUAUUGGUCAACAACUUUUACUUUUUAAUUUUUGUUUGUUAGACUUAGCCAUGGUUGCUUUGGGUCAAGCCUUGCCAUUUCAAUUAUAGUGGUCAAACCCCCUUGCAUGGUUCGGUUUGACCCCUUUGGAAAGGUUUAGGAUUUUUAUUUUUUUAUGGUAAUUAAAAUUAUUUUAAUAUUGAAUUCAUUCAAACUUUGAAAGCCCUUUAUAAUUAAAUUUGAUAUUUAUUGUUAAUCAUUCAUAUAUAAAUUAUAAUUACAAGAAAUUAAAUGUCAUGCUUUUCAUAUAAAUAAAUAUAAUUUUAAUUUUUUUUCAUUAAGUUAAAAAUAAUAUGUCUAUAUCAACUAAUAUAAUUAAAAUAAACUUGUUAUUAAUAGAUUCAAUUUAGUUAUAUUAGUUAAUAUUAACAAAAUACUUUUAGGUGAAUAGAAAAUAUCAAAUAUUUUUAUUUUUUCUAUUUAGUCAAAGAAACAAACACGACAAUAAAAAAAAAUUAAAAUUGACCAAGAACCUUUUGACUCCACUUAAUUUUGAUAGCUUGAAUGAAAAGGGAGAAGGUAAAGAAAAUUUUUCAUUAUUCUCUUAUUUAAUCUUCCAUAAAAAUGAAAAUUGAUAAAAAAAAAAAUUAAAUUUAGGAAGAUGACAUGACACUUUAUUUUCUCCCUUUUUCACAAGGAAAAUAAGGGGAAAACUUUCCUCUUUUCCUUAGACUAUUUUUGAUUCUUGAAAAGCAUCACAGAAAAAGGAAAAGAAAUUGUUAAGUAAAAUAUUUUUCAAAUGAUUAAAGAAAAGACAAUAAAAAAUACUAAAAGAUUUUCCUCCCUAUUUUCCUUAAUAAAGAUGAGAAAAGUUCAAAAAAAAUGUAUUCAUCAAUAAUUUAAUUUUCUUUCUCUAAACUUUUUCAUGGGCAUCCAAACAUUAUGUUAGUUUGGUUUUAGAAAAAUGUUAAAAAUAAAUUUUUUUUUUCAUAUUUUAUUUUACUAUAAAAAAAAUAUAAAAACUCAAAUAUAAUUCAAAAAUUAAUUAGAAAUUUAUGCAUGAUCAAUUUAUUUAUCUUUAUAAAAAAAAAAAGAUAAAAUAAAUCAAAUGAGUCUCAAGUAGUAUUUUUUUUUUUUUACUUUAUCUUAUCCUAUAACAUUCAAACCUAAGAAAUCAUUUUAUUUAACAUUUUCUAAGAACAAACAUGGCCUUAAUGUGGUAAAGACAUUAAAAUUAAUAUUAAAUUAUAUAUGAAAAUACUUAAUUGCAAUAUAAUUUCAAAAAAAAAUAUUAAUAAGAGUAAAGAUAUUUUCUAAUGUUUUUCCAAUGUGAGUGAUUUUCCAAUAUUACACAUGAUUUUUCAGAUUUUAAAAGUAUUUCGAUGAUUUUGCUUAACUCUUAAUUUUUUUUUUAAAUAUACUUUUUAGACUAAAAGUGUUUUCUAUAAUCACUGUCAAAUAAACUCAUAGUUUGGUUAUAUACAAGUUAAUUUAAGCAUUAAUUUUAUUUAUUUUUAAAAAAAUUUAAAACAAUUAUAUAUAUAAAUCUUAAAAUGUCGGUUUGACUUGAAAUUAAAUCAACAAAGUUGGUUAUAAAAAUUUAAAGAUUUUAAUCAAAUUUUUUUAUUUUUUUUUUUCGAUUUUACCUAUACCUUAUUUGAUAUUCACAGUUUGUAUAAAUUUUAAAAUAAUUUUAUUAUACUUUUUAUAUUUUCUUGAAUUCUAAUGCUAUGUUUAUGCAUUUUCAAAUUAAUUAUCUUUAUAUAAAUAAAAAAUAAAUGAAAUGAUUUACAAAGACAUGUAAAUCAAAAAUUUUAAAUUUUAAAAUCAAUGUAAGAGUGAUCAAAUCCCAAUCCAAACACUCAUCAUUUGAUAAUUAAAAUAAUUAAGUAAUUAUUAUUAUAAAAAUAAUGACAUGGCUUUGUUUUUGGUAUACAAAAUAAUAUGAGGUAUUAAGAUACUAAUUUUAUUUUUUUAUAAUAAUUAUUGGAGGAACUAAAACAUUAAUGAAAUAAUAAUUAUCAUAAUUAUUAAUUACAUAUUUAUUAGGUAUAAUAUUUAAGGAAAAAUAUAUUUUAUUUUAAUUGUAAUAAUUAGAACAAACAUGCCAUGACCAUUUUUUUUUUUUUAUGGUAAUUUUUUUAGUUUAAAAUAUUAAUUGAAAUCAAUGUAAUGUCAUGGCUAAGUAUGAAGAUUUCAACAUAAAUUAAAUUUAAAUAAAAUAUUAUUAAUUAAAAAUAAAUAAAUAAAAUAUUAAUUGAAAUCAAUGUAAUGUCAUGGCUAAGUAUGAAGAUUUCAACAUAAAUUAAAUUUAAAUAAAAUAUUAUUAAUUAAAAAUAAAUAAAAAGAAAAUUUCCAAAACACAGUAGAGGGCUAAGAAUUUUCUUCAGAGUGGGGCCCACCACCUACUCUUUCACCACUAAAACGUCGUCGUUUUACUUUUAAAACAAAGAAUACAGCUUUGACUUUGCAACUUCCUCUGCUUUUCCUCUUUUCUUCUCUUUAUAUUGCCUUCCUCAGCCUCACUUGUUCUUCUCAUUCUUUGUUGUGGAGUUCAUCGAUUGAGUUUUGUUACCGGCGUUUAUGGCCGUCGAUUUUCUAGGAUUCUCCAAGAUGGACGAGCAGAUGGCUAUCCAGGAAGCCGCAUCGGCCGGUUUGAAGAGCAUGGAGCACCUGAUCCUCCUCUUGAAUCAUCACCAUCCUCAAUCUCAGCAAAUCAACCACUUCGAUUGCAGAGAAAUCACCGAUUUCACAGUUUCCAAGUUCAAGCAAGUCAUUUCCAUCCUGAACCGGACCGGCCACGCCCGGUUCCGUCGCGGUCCGGUUACUUCUUCUCCUUCUCAGUCUCCUUAUGACUUGUCUAAUAAAUCGGAAUUGCCCAAACCGGUUGAGUCAAGCCCAUUUCAUUCGAACCUGAUUCUAUCUGCGAAGCCUGAUCCGCUCAAAUCGGAAGGCAACGCUAGCGUGUCGUCGACGACUUCGUCUUUCUUGUCGUCGAUCACCGGAGACGGCAGCGUGUCGAACGGAAAAUUAGGGACUCCUCUGUUCGCACCUCCUCCGGCUCCGGCGGUUUCCGCCGGUAAACCGCCUCUUUCGUCGUCUCAACGGAGGAAAUGUCAUGAGCAUGGAUCCUCCGACAACAUCUCCGGAAAACUCUCUGUUUCCGGCCGCUGCCAUUGCUCGAAAAGAAGGUAUUGAAUUUUCCUUCGGCGAUUGGGUACUCUAGAAUGCCUCUUAAAAAAAUAGAUAUUAAAUAUGGAUUUUUCGAUGUUUUGCAGGAAAAAUCGUGUGAAGAGGACGAUCAGAGUUCCUGCGAUAAGCUCGAAGAUCGCCGAUAUUCCCGCCGACGAGUACUCUUGGAGAAAGUACGGUCAGAAGCCGAUCAAGGGCUCACCAUACCCACGGUAAUUUUCUACUCCUCUAAAUCUCCACCGCAGAUCCAGAAGACUUUUCAAAGUCACUUUUCUCAUCCCAAUAUUCAAACAAUUUCCUCUUCCUCUUCCUAUUUUCAGAGGCUACUACAAAUGUAGCAGCGUGAGAGGCUGCCCAGCGAGAAAACACGUGGAGCGCGCACCAGACGAUCCGGCGAUGCUCAUCGUCACCUACGAGGGAGAGCACCGCCACUCUCAAACUCCGGCACCGGCCGGUGGGCUCAUGUUCCCAUCAACCUGACGAUCCUCCCCUGCCCCCAAUCCAGGAUCGGCUGUCAGGGAGCAAGUUGUCACAGCCAGGUGGCCAUAGAUUCCCCGGGGCACAAAAGUCAAAGAAGAGUCAAACUUACUGUUCGGGAGAAUAGUGUACAAAAGAAAAGAAAAUUCAAAAAUCAAUGUCUAGAAAUGAAUUAUUAUUUUUCCCUCUUUCGGUAUUAAAUUAAUUGGCUUGAAUGGGGAUUCUGUGUUUUCUUGCGCACCAAGUCAAAAAAGGUGGGAAUACUUUUCAUAAGAAGAGGGCCCCACUGCAUUGUAGGAGGCAAUGUAUUGUUGUGGAGGUGUGAGUAGGUGGUCAAUGGAGCUUUGUUGAGAUGGGCCCCAUUACAGCUAAUAAUUCCAACUCGGGGGUAGUCCACUCCAGGUUGUUGACGAAUACGGGGCGAGUCCGCCCAUGAAUUAUUAGGCUGAAGCUUUGGAGGGUUGACCUUAUUCCAUGUGAUUGUCUGCCACAUGAACCCAGGUCACAUCAUAAAUAAAUAAUCAAAAAGAAGAAGCUAGAAGCGAUGGCUGACUUUGGUUAUUUUAUUUAGGUAUGGCAAAUGGUAAGCUGAUGGUUUCAAGAACCUCAACCAACUACCAAGUUUUCAUCAUCUUUUCCACAUUUUCUCUAUAACCAAACAAAACACCUACUCACUCUCACACCGGCUCCCUCCUCAUCUUUGGUCAUCAAUACGAAGGAAAUUAGAAGUCGGUUUGCUAGAUUUGAAAUUUGUUUCCCAAUAAGUUUGUUGUCUUCUCACCAAGCAAAUGGAUUUGAACUAAAAUAUGAUUUCAAGUUAAUUUCACAUUGAUUUUAAGAAUUGCUUUUAGUUUAAUAAAUGUUUUUAUAAAAAGAUUAUGUAUUUGGUAAAAUUUAUAAAAUAUUUAAAAAAAAAAUUUUAAAUCACUUAAAAUUUUUUUGAUAACGAUUUUAAAAAACGUUUUUAAUCUUUUUAAUAUUUAAAUUUUUUUAUUUUUCAAAGUAUUAAAAAAAUUAUAAACACUUUUUAAAAUUACUAUUAAACACCUUUAUAAAUACACAAGGUGAAGUGUUUUGCUAAAUAAACACUCAUCUUUUUCUUCAAAAAUCAAUUUAAAUAAUUUUUUAGAUUUUAAAAAGUAAUAUUUUAGAUUUUAAAAAGUGUUUUUAUUAGAUAUUUUCAGACAUUUAUCUAAAGAUUAAUGAUAAUUUUAUAAUACCAAAUUUCCUUUUUAUUUUUAAAACAAAAAUUAGAAUUCCAAAUAUAUCAUAUUUUAAUCAUUUAUAGCUUCCUCCAAAAGAUUUAUUUAUUUAUGUAUUUUCUCAUGGAAGAUGUUCUAUAGACUUUUAAUAAAAAAAAUUAUAAUACCAAAUUUGUCGCUUUAUUAUUAAAAGAAAAAACUAGAAUACCAAAUAUAUCCUCUUUUCUAUAGAACCUUUAUUUAACCUAUGCAAAAAAUAAUUUUAUGUUUAUUGAAGAUUUUCCUAUAGUAAUUUACCAUUUAAAAAUUAUACCUUUGAUUUAACUUCAAUAAAAGUCAAAAAAAUAAAAAAUAAAAAUAAACAUAAAUAAAAAUCCAAAAAGGGUCAUAUAGUUCCAAUUUGUUAUGCCCAUGGCCUACUAGUCACUCAUUUGUACUAGUCAAUUAAUCCCACUUUAUGAUUUCUUAUCAAUAAUAUAGCAUGCAUAGGUUCAAGUGAAAUAUGGGUAAUAUUUUUAAUAUUUUAGCUCAUAAAUAUUAUCUAGGGCUAUUUACUUUGGGCCUUUUUAAUUAUGGGCCUUCUUAUUCUACUGUCUAUUUUAAUGAAACCUCAAUUACAAUGUGGUUUCAUCUUUUUAGUAGGAUGUAUGUUAAAGAAGUUGUAUCACUCAAUUGAAAAUGUAGUCUCAAUAGGCUUCCAAAAUCUAUUUGAGUUGAUUCACAAUCUUAUUAUUUUAAAUUAAAUCUAAUUCAAAAUCUUAAUUUUUUUCAAACUAAGGGUGUUUGUUUUUUUAACUUUUUGUUAAAAAUAAUUUGCUUUCAAACUUUAAACUAUUUGUUUUUCUAUUUUUUCGUGACUUAUUAUAAAUUUUUGGAUAAAUAGAAAAAACCAAAAUAUUUAAUUUUUUCUAAAUGGAAAAAGUAACAGGUUAGUAUUUCUUUACUUUUUGAUACUUAAUAGAAAUAAAAUAUUACAAAAAUAAGCAACAUAAUACUUAAUACUAUUAAAAUUUUAUUUAGAAUUAAAAAAAAAAAAAAAAAAAAAACCACCUAAAUCUAAAUUAGAAGUAUGGAAUACUUGAUUCCUCCAUGGAUGGUUACUUUGGAUUGCAUAAGUACUUUAAAAGGUUCAUAUUAUCAAAAUAAAAAUUAAUCAUAGCGAGUUUUGGUUAAAAUUAAUUGGUAGUAUAUGAUUUAGAAGCCAUACAAUUAGUAUAAUGUUUAAGGUCGUCGAUCUUCUUGUACAAUAUUAGAGAUACUAUUUAUAAAAUAUCUUUAGAGGUCGUUGUCUUUUUUGACAACUUCUUCUCUUGUGUUCUUUUUUACACAACCAUAUUGAUAAAUAAUUUCUUAUAAGUAAAAUAUGAGUCACGAGGACAAUGAAUGUCAAGUUUAAUCAAGAAUUAGUAUAAACUAAGAAAGAAAGAGAAAAAGAUGGUGGAAGAUGACAAAAAGAAAACUCUAGUUAUGUAUAUUAUAUUGUAUCACCUUUAUCUUAUGUGUGGUCUAAUUAGACUUAGAAAAAGAUAGUUGAAUUAUGUUGAUCAAAGGUUCUUUCUUGACAAAAAGAUGAGCCAAGGGAACAAGAAGACCUCAAUCAACGCUUUUAUCAUAUGUGUUUGGUGGUAAUUGGAUGUAGAAAAACAUAAAAUGUACUAAUAAAAUAUACUUUGUGAAUAAAAAGGUGAGCCAUGAGGAUGAUAAGGUAUCACUCAAGGCUUAGGGGGAAAUCCAACGAGAUUAAAAGGAAAGAUGGGGAAGUAGAAUGAUAAUCAUCCAAAAGAGAUUGAGCAUUAAGUAGUAAUUAAUAGAAAACUUUGGGCAAUAAAGUCAUGAAGGCCCUUAAGGGUGUUGUGUUGGAGCAAAAUGUCGGUCACUCACAUAAGUAAGUUGUCAGGCUCUUCAUACAAGGGUUCAAAGUAGAUCCUUAUUAAUCAGACAAGUAGAUCCUCCUUGGUUGGUCGAGUACAAAUAAUAGGCCUCUAACCUCUCAUCAAGCUUAAAGGGGUAGGCUUGCCAUGGGUGCAAGCUCAACUAAAGGGAGGCGUCCUAGACCAAAAACUAUAAGGGACUUCGACAUUGAAUUCAAUUGAUGGCAAUCAAAAUAGGUUUGGUGCAUAUACAAUUUCUCUCAUCCUUAAAAAACCUCCAACUCUUUCCAUCAUACCAAAACCUUUAAUCUAUUUCAAAUCCAUGUUAAUGUGAGACCAAACCUACACCCAAGACCUUACAUAAUAGAACCGAGGUGCCUCAUUCCAAUUGGGAUGUCUAUGAGAUAGGGGAAACAAAAUGGGAUGGUGAUAAAGUGGAACAAGCCUAGAAGAAUUGUUUUAUAUAAAUGGUACAUAUUAGCACCAUCCUUAAGGGGGUUCACCUAGGGAUGGCAAUGGGGCGGGUUUUUUCAGGUACCCACCCCGCCCCUAAUGGGACGAGGUUUAAGUUUAAUAAACGGGUUUGGGACGGGUAUGAGAUUUUUUUUUAAAACCCGGGGCGGGUUCGGGUAUUGCCCCAUCCUACCCCGCUCCGUCCCGAUUAUAUAUAAAAUUUAAUUAUUAUAUUUUUUAUAACUUAUGUAAUUAAAAAUUUUAAAAAUAAUUUUUAUUUUUAAAAAAAAAAAAAGUUAAACGGACGGGGCGGAAGAAUUGUUUUUAACAAACGGGGCAAGGUUGGGAUGGGAGCGACCUAUCUAGAACUCACCCUGUUGCCAUUCUUAGGUUCACCUUGAAAACAUCCUUAAUUGAAGAUCAAAUUGAAACACUAUGGAUCAAAUUGACAAUCAUCCAUUUAUAAAAUUGAUCCUUUUACACCAUCCUUGUAAGGGGGUUACAUUGAUACCCUCUUAUUUGUAGGGUCAAACCUCUUGGGCUAUAAGGGUUUUCCUUUUAGAAAAAGAUUAUUGAAUAUGAUAUUUCAUAUAUUAUUAAUUAUAGUAAAAAUAGGUUGUAAAAACCAUAUAAGAUAGGUUGUGAUGUGAGGAAAAGUUAAAAAACACUGAAUGGACCUCACUUGAUGUGGAUUCUGGAAUGUGGAAUUGAUGGAUUGAUUCUCCCUUGUGUUGGGGUGAUGGAAAAUUUUCCCUUAAGCCUAGUAAUUCAAUGGGGCGUUCAACAUGUUGCAUAGAAAGGUUGAUCCACAUUUAGCUUGUAAAAUUGGACAUUACCGAAGAAAAAUAAAUACAAAAAACUUUUACCUAUACCUGAUUUUUAAAAAUAAUCUCCUACAUGCCCUUGAAAAGUACCUGCUCUCUUAUAUCUAGAUGCCCUUUAUCACUUUAAAUAUUCAUCUUACCAAGUGCACAUACAUUUUUUUUUUAUUCUUUUCUUUCCUUCAUUAAAAAAUUUCUAAUUAUCAAAUUUUAGGUACAAAAUUAUAUUUUUUUGUUUAAAAAUGAAUAGUCAUAUUUUAAAAAAUUUAGCAAUGAAUUAUAAUAUUUUAAAUUUCAUAUAAAUUUUAAUUAUUUUAAAACGAAUAUUAUAUUAUAUCUGUGAAACCAAGGUUUGGUUAAUCUUGAUUUUGAUAAUAACAAAAUAAGGUUUAGAACUAAUGAUCAUAUUUCAAGUAUGAUUAGGCAAGACGACUUCCAAAGUGGCAAUCCAAAGACAAAUCAAGUCAAGGAGAAAUCAUGAAGAAGAAGACUACCUCAAAGAGAAGAGUUUUUCAAGACCAAAGCUUCUUAAGAUCUCUUUGUAAGGUUGUUGGUGCGCUAGGACUUUCAUGCAUUUCAUUCUUUAUUUAUGCACCAAAAUCAUCCAAGAGUAAUAUUGUUUUAAAUAUCUUAAGAAUUGGAUGAUUUCAUAUUUUCAACUAAAACCUUGUGUUAAAUGAUUUUCAAACUUGUGUUAAAAGGUUUUAAGUUGAAAAAUGUUGAGUAUUGAGCCAAAAAAAUGGCUCAACCGGUUCAAUUGGUUGACUGGUUGUGCUCGUCCGGUCGAGGACCGGUUGAAGGAGACCAAAAAGUUUCUUUCUCUCCCAGUGGCCUUCUCUUCCCGGUCAAGGUUGAACCUCAACCGAUCGAGGUCCGGUCGAGGUCCGAUUAAAGUCCGGUUGAGGCCCGGUCACUUUUUCUAACGACUAGUCAUCCGGUCGACCCCUAGCUCGACCGAUCGAACCCCCAACGGCUAGUUUGGCUUUUUUGUUCUAUAAAAAGGCUUCAAUCUUCAUUGUUUCAUAAGCUAAACCUUCUCAAAUCAUUCUUGAAUAUAUUUGAGCCUUGGAAAAGUGUUUUUGAGUGCACCAUUGUUUCAUAACUUGCAUAUCUUUAGUGCAUCAUUCAAUCCUAGUUUUUCUUAUAUCUUUAAGCCUAAAGUUCUAUUACUAGGAUUUUUGUGAGAUCAAUCUUUGUAUAUCUUUAAGAGGAAUUUUCUCAAGUGAGGGGUAUCACUUGAAAGGUUGUUCAAGAGUGGGAUAACUCUUGAGAAGUAUAAAGGGUGCUUGGAGCCAAAAGUCCAAGAGGGUGAAUUGGAACCAUAAUUCAAUUAUAAAGAGAUUGGAAGCUUGGUUGAAGCUUCAAGAUAGUGGAACCUUCACUCGGUUAGGAGGUUGAGGAGAGUGGACGUAGGCAAGGAAGUACCGAACCACUAUAAACUCUCAUGUUUGCACUCUCUCUUCCCUAACUCUUUUAAAUUAUAUGCAAUUGUAUUUAUUUUGUUUAUUAUAUAUUUGCAUAUAAUUGUCUCUUAUUUUUGUAUAGUUUAAAUUUAUGAAAAAAAGACUAUCACCCUAUUUACCCCCCCUCCCCCCUCUAGGGUGAUUACCAUAGUUUGGAUUAGCCUCAAAUUCCUAACAAUAUCGAAUACAUAAAAAAAAUCAAUAAAUAAUAAUUUAAAUGAAUAUUGUAAUGACAAAUUUCAUAAAUACUAACAUUAACAAUAAAAAUAAAAAUUAUGCUUUGUUUGUUUUAAAAGAAUGAUAAUAUUUUAGUAGAUAUUGGAAAAUAUGGAAUGCAAUAUUUUAAUAAAUUGUAUUCUUUUUUAACAAAAAAAAAAAUGCAUGAUUUGUGUUGGCAGAUCGAAGGGUUGGCCGCGUCCAUCAACUACCCUUAUGUUUGUCGUGGGCGCUUGAGUGAAUGCACUAUAAGGUUAGGGUAUGCGCCUUUCCUAACAGCAAUUGCUUUUAGGAAAGUUGGUAGCGUCUGAGGUCCUACAAAUGGUAUCAAAGUCGAGGUCACAGGUUCGAACCCCAGGGGUGUUAGGGGAGGAGAUUGUUGGCAGAUUGGAGGGUUGGUCGUACCUGAGGUCCUACAAUUUGUAUUUUAUUUUCAUGUUAGUAUUCCCAUUUAAAUUUCAUUUUAAAAGAAACUUAAAUUUAUCUUCAUUUUGAAAACAUUCAUAAAUUUUUUUAAAUUUUAUUAUUCUUGUUUAAAAAAAAAAAAAAAAAACAUGUAUAAUUUUUCAUCAUCAUUUGAAAAUGUGACAAUUGGAAAACAAAAUUUAAUCAAAGGUAAAAGGUGAAAAAAAUAUGAAUAUGGGUACAUUUAGUGAAGUGCAUACGUAAAUAUGUGAAAAUAUAAAAAUAAUAAGGAUUAAAAAUGUCAAAAAUCAUAAAAGGAUUGGUUCGAUCAUAGAUUUUGUAAAUUAGGUGAGCUCUUUUUAAGAGGAUAUUGUUUUUGUUGGUCUUUCUUUUUUUUACUUUUAAGCGUCCUUUGUAAAUCCGUAUAUAUCAAAACAUUAUUUUGGCACUUUUUAUUUAUAAUACACUCUUUCAUUUACUAAUAAAUUUAUAUCUAUCGAGCACUUGAAUUUGUACUUAGAUUAUAGGAAAAUAUUAGAAAUAUCGACAAGAUUGAAUUUAAUCCAAACUUACAAAAGUAUUUUUUUUUAAAUAAGAUUUUUUUUUGUUUAAAAUUGUUUAUAACUUAUUUAUUAAUUUGUAUUUAUAUAUCAUGUGUUUAAUUAUAAAAUUACUUAUUUAUUAAGACAGUUAUUAUAUAUAUGAUGUUUUUAUAUCAUCAACAAUUAGUUAAAUAGGAUUUAAAAAUGAGAUAAUUAAAUAUCUUUGAAAAUGAGAUAGUUAAAAUUAAUUGAUUUAUUAAAAUUUUAUUUUUAUACUUCAUUUUUUCUUUUUUUGAAAAGCUUUAGAAGAUACAAUUAAUACAUAUAUAUAUAUAUAUAUAUAUAUAUAGCAUAUGUCUUAUGAGGGAAACUUGCCCUAGCAGCGAAAGCCCGCUGCGCGUGUGUAAGGAGUCGAGUGCAAUGCCCGAAAAAUCGGAAGAAAUCCGAAAUUCUCGGAAAAUUGCAAAAAUUGUCAAAACUCGGCCGAAGAAAAUCCGAUUUUUUAAUCCACGGUCAUAAGAGAUUAUAUUUAUUAAAUACUAAAGAAAAUAAUUGGAAACAUAAAGCCAGCUGGGCUUGUUUUUAAUUUUUCUAUUUAAGUUAAACAAUAAAAAUAAUUUUCUGGUAUUUUUUUAAAAUAAGGAUGUUUGGUAGCUUGUUUUUAAAAGUACUUUUCAAAAAAAAAAAAAUUGUUUGGAUAAAUAAUUUUUAUUUUUUAAAAAAUAAUUUUUCUAUUUUAAUUUUCUAAAAAAAUUAUAAGUUCAAUUUAUUAAUUAAAUUUGGUUCAACUCUUUAAAAGUAAAAAUAGUUUUGUAAUUACAAAUACAUUAAAAAAUAAAUAGUUUUUAGUAAAAUAUAAAUACUAAUAUUAUAAUAAAAUCAUAAAUUAUAUUUUUAUUAGAAAUAAUAUUAUUUUAUUAUAUAUUAUAAAAUAUGCAUAUUAACAUCUUCAUAAAGAUAUAAUUGAUUUAAAAAUAAAUAAAUAGUAAUAUUAAAAUUUAAAAAUAAUACUAGUUAAUAAUAUUUACUUAAAAUUAAUUUUGAAAAAAACAAGGAUUAAUUUUUUUUAUAGAUAAUUAAGUCAAAAUUUCAUUAUAUACAAGCAUUUAAUAUUCACUUAGUAAAGAAUUUAGCAUAUUGGGUUUUACUUGAUUUAGAAUUUAUUUACCUAAUGAAAAAUUUUUGAAAAAAUAUAAUUGCAUGCAACCGAGAAAGAGUAGUGUCAUAAUUCAUUUUCUGGCCCAUUAUUUCAUGAUCGAUAAAGAUUUGAUAUAUUUUUAAGUUUCAAAAUAACUAAACUCAUUAAUAAAAUUAAUGCAACAUUAAACUCAUUAAUAAAUUCAAUAUAUUAAACUACAUUUGAUUUUAAAUCAUUUGCGUGGUGAUAUAUAUAUAUAUAUAUAUAUAUAUAUAUAUAUAUAUAUAUAUAUAUAUAUUAUUUUGAUUUGAAACCUAUUUUCCUAAUGAAUAAAAAAUAAAAAACUUCCCCUAUUGGUUAAUAAAGAAAAAAAAAUGAUAAAGAAAUCAUGUUCUACUUCAUUUGAUUUUUAUGGUUUUUAAAAAUAAUUUUUUUAUUUCUUUAUAUUUUGUUUUUACUUCUAAAAACAAUGAAAACAACUGUUAUGCUUGUUUUUUGAAAACUAUUCUCUGAUUUAUUGUAUUUUUAAAAUUUAUUUCCGAAGAACAAGUCAUGAUAAUCCGAUAAAUUUUUACAAUCAAUUUGUUACCAUUUGUCUCUCUUUAUAUUCUUGUUACCCUUUGUCUCUCUUUCUAUUGAAAAUUUCCGUAGUAUACCCAAACUUUAAAUUGGACAUGGCACAAGAAUUUUGACUCUUGACUGUCGGUGGCUGUAUUAGUCCUAUACAUUCAACCUUUUGGCUUGUCCUCAUAGUAGACAUUUGACUGUCUUAGCCUACAAUUAUUGUAACUUUAGGAUAACUUCAUUGUUAAUUUAUUUAUUUUUAUUUGGUUUUAAAUUAUUUAUUUUAAAUAUUAACUUCUAUUAUAUGAUAGUCUUCACUCUCAUUUAGGGUUAAAUACCCUUAAGGCUUUUUUCUAAAAUUUGCUAAAUAAUAAUGGAAAAAAUCAAUUAAUUAAAGUUUAAAAUAUGAGGAAGUAAUAAUCAUUUAAGGGACAUAAAAACACAAUUUUUAUUUUUCUACUAGACAAAUACGAUAUUGAAAUCUUUUCCUAAAACACGAUUGGUUUGUAAGACCACUUUCAGUACUAAGCCUUUUAAUAAUUAGUCCUAAUAAAGCCCCCAUAUGAUGUAUUUUUUUUAAAAUGAAACCCUUGAUAACCUGAUAUAAAAACUCUUUAUUUUAGUAAAAUUGAAUUAUUUGAAAUUAUGAGUGAUGAUGUGAGAGGUCUUAAAUUUUUUUUAUUUUUUAAAAUAUAUAUAGUUUUGAAAGAUUUGAUUUUAAGUUUGAAUGAGAAUAUGUUAUGGUUGUUUAGUCCAUUUCAAAAGAGAGGAUCCUAUGCGAAUACCAAGAGGAAUGACUUGGUGGGACAUAAAAUGAUAGAAGGAAGGUGAGAGUCGUGAGACCAAGGUCCACCAUCCAUAAUUUAUGUAUACUCCUUUUGGGGAGAACACAUGAGCUUCAACAACAUUUUUUAACAUUAAUAGGAGGUGGGGAAGACUUCAAAAGCAUCCAAUGAAAGUUUCAACUAAUUUUUUUUUUAAAAGUAUAUAUAAUAUAAUAUUAAAUUCACCUUAAGAUGUUUGAAAUAGAGAUUAGUAGUUGUCAUCACAUGCUUUCACACUUCAAUUAAAGGAAAACAUGACUUGACUCCAUUUUAUAUAUGAAUACAAUUCAUAGAAUAGGGAAUUUUAGCUAGGAAAGCUAAAGCUAGGUCUCAUUAGAUCCGUGAUUCAACACUAAAUCUCUUAAAGGAGAUAGAAUCUUCAUUGGAAAUGGUAGGGAUAAAUCUUGGGAUCCAUGUGAUGAAGAUUAGGGCUAACAUGGGCUCAUGAUCCCAUAGUGGUACAAUUUUUUUUUUUUAGAUUCUUCAAAAGGUUUUCUUAAUUGUUAAAAUGUUUCAAUAUUAUAUUGGAUUAUAACAAAUUUUGGAUAAUUUAUUAUUAUUAUUAUUAUUAAAAUCCCAUUCAAUUGUGAUUUUGAACAAUGAUUGAAGAAAGGCUAGCUUGGAUUGGUAUUGGGAUGAUGAUGUCAUUAUCAAGGUGUAGUGGAAAUUUCACAUCCUUCUAUUUGUGUUUGCCAUGAUAAUAUACUAUUUGCAUAGUUAGAAUGAAUAAAAAACACAAGGAAAAGAGAGUACCCACAUAGGGAUGAAAAUAAGGCGGGCUCAAGAUAGGUCACUUUCAUUUCUACUGUGCCUCAAUUAUGUAAUUCAUUCUUAUCUUCAUUCCAAAAAAAAUAAAAAAUAAAAAAAGAAAUUAAACCAUGUAGGGUGAUUAAAAAUUUCUUAUACCUAUUUCAUCCCGUUUAUUCUUAUUAUUUCUUAAAUUUUUUUUAAAAAAAUAAAUAUAACUUAUAAAUUUUUAUAAUUUAUUUUAUGAGAAAUAAAUUUAUUUAUUUUAUGUGUUAUAAAAGGGAAAAUGAAAAACAAAUAUUUUUUAUUUAAUUGUAUAGUAGAGCAUGGUUAAACAAAACAAUACUCAAAUCUACUGACUAGUCUUGGAUAUAUAUAUAUAUAUAUAUAUAUAUAUAUAUAUAUAUAUAUAUUUUCUCAUCCUAACUUAACCCAUUUAUACUUCUCUCAAAUACAUACCCAUUUAUACUUCUCUCAAAUACAUUCUAUUUAGGAGUGCAACGAGGCAGGUAAUUAGAAAAAGAUCAUCCCAUCACCAUUUCCUAUACCCACAUCUUAAUGAGUAAGGGCAGUGAAUCUUACCAAGGAUGAAGUCGUUUUCUACUACACUAUCGACUCCAAUUUCAUUGUUGAGACGUUCCUGUCGCACUCCUCAUGCAACAUUAAAGGACCAUCAUUACCACGUGAGUUUAAACAAGGCUAAGAUCAAUUCAUAAUUCAACAAUUAUAGACCUUCUUAUAACUUUUCAAAAGUUAUUUAUAAUUUUCAUAGGUAUAGAUAAACUAUUUAAAAAAAAAAAUCAUUUGAAAGUGUGUAGAAAUUUAUUUUUGGAACAUCAAAAAGCAUCUUUCUCUUGUGAUAGAUCUUUUCAUUUCAUUAAAUAGCAUCCUUAAUUUCCUAUUAUGAUAAUUUACUAUUGGGCCAAGCAUGGAAAUUAAGAUCAUAUGAAUAAAUCCAUGCCAUUUUUAAAGUUGAUUUGCAAUGCAAGGCAAGGUCAAAUCAACAUCAAAUUUAGAAGACCAUAAAAUGAAUUAAAUAGACCUACUUUUUUUCUUUUUCUUUUUUCAAAUUUAAGCUAUAAGCCAUGUACCACUUGUAGUAAAAAAAAUUAGUUAUUUUAAAGUCAUGUUUUUCACAUUAGGUUUGUACAUUAGUGAAUAGAAUGUCUUAGGUCAUAUGUCAUAAUCAACCUAUUCUUAGUACCAAAAUAUGUCUUUUUAAGAAAUAAUUACUUUAAUUAAAAAAGUGUUCAUAAUUUUUAUUUUAACGACUUAUGUACUUGCAAACGAUUUCAUCGGUUUUACCCUGAUCACAACAGUUGUAAAUUUAAAUUUUACUUAUCUAUUCAAUAAAAAAAAAUCUUUUAUAUUCAACGUUAGCUAUAUUUCAAUCUCGUAUUCUUAUUGAGGAAUGUCAAGAAAUUGUGUAAAAAAGGUAAGUAAAUUUUUAAUGACUUGUACCCUUGAAAACAUUGAUAUAAAUAUUUCUUAUUUUGCCAAAAAUACUACUUUACCAUUAAUUAGUAUAUUAGUUAAAUAUAAUGUUUUUAAUUUUUUUUUUAUCAUAUGUUGAUGAGUAAUUAAAUUGACAAAGAUGUCACACACAAUGAUGCUGAGAAGAAAAAAAAAUGGAAAGGAACAUAAUCCUUUUUAAUUAGGUGUUGGGUGAUGGUGGCACUUGAAAACAAUGUAAUGUGAAGGUGGGUGCAGUGUCAACAUUACAGAUCUAAAAAAAUUAAGAGAGAGAGUUGAGAUAGAGAGAGAGAGAGAGAGAGAGAGAGAGUUGGGUGAGGGAGAGAGUUGAGGGAGAAAGAGAGAGUUGGGAGAGAGAGAGAGAGAGAGAGAAUUGAGUAGGGUUAGAAACUAAGACAAACUUAAGGACUUGGUUACCUGGAUUUCUUCAUUGCCUAGUGGUUGAAGGGGUCAUGAAGAGAUGAUUCUCAGCAGGGUUAAUUAUUGAAAAUGGUUUUCAAUAAUCUGUGUUACCUUUGCUUUGACCUUACUCUAGAUGUGCAUAAUCACAGUGAGACAGAUUGGUUGUUAUGCACAGUGAGACAAGAUUGGUGGGCACCUCCCUACAUUUCCUUCCUAUCAUUGAGCUAACACAUAUAGGUGAUGUAGCUCAUCACUUUCCUCCAAAUGGGUCUCCACAACAUGCAACAAACUACCUUUUAAAAAUCUCUACAAUCAGCUUGGGGACACAUGCAGGAGAAUGGUUUUUAAAUCUUAGAUGGGUGGGUGCAUUCCAUCAACUUUAGUUUUUCAAAACGAUAAAAAUACAUUUUUAUAAAUAAAUAAAAAUUAAAUUUAUGUUUCUCAACUUCAUUUGGGUUGAAUUAAAAAAAAAUGGAAGAGCUUAUUUUUAAAUUUAAUAAAAGCUUUUUGUAUGUAUUUAGUAUUUUUAUUAAAUGAGUUUUUACUUUUAAAAAAAAUAAAGGGAAUUUAAUAAAAAAAAUAAAGAUAAUAUUAAUUCUCAUAAAAAUCAUUUUUUAACUUAUAUUAUAUUGAUGGCCUUAUUGAAAGGUCCAUUUCAAAGUGGGUAAUCAAAUAAAUAUUAUUUUUAUUUAUAAAAAAUAAAAAUAAAUAAAUAAGAACAUACUAUUGAAGUUUUGCAUAAUAUUAAUGAUUGAAGAUGAAUAAGAUAUGGUUACAAUAAAAAAUGAUUUAAAUGUACAUCAUGACAUAAAUUUCAAGUAAUUGGAAGAAUAUUACUAGAAAAACAAUGACAAUUUCCUUUACUAAGAAGGAAAAUAAAGUCAAGAUCACAUUAUUGAUAGUCAUUGAUGGCCCUAGCUAACUUGAAAUAUACAAAAUUGAAAAUAAAAAUUAAAAUUAAAAAGAAAAAAAACGGGUCCUCUUUGCUCUUGAUGUUCCCAUAACACCAAGGCAGACCACAUUAAUAAAAAAAAUGAAGUGGUUAGACUCACAUGUAAAAAGGAUAAUAUUGAUUGGAUUAAUUUCCAUUAUUCAUAAAUAAAUUCUUUUAAUUUUAAAUAUAAUUAUGGGUCAAUUUUUAAAAAUUAAUAUUCUUUUUGUGUUAUAUUGAAUUUCCUGGCUCAAUGUCACUUGAGCAUGAAAAAAUUAAAGAAGUCUCUUGAAUAUAAAAAAAAAAAAUUCUAAAAUAUCUAUAAUUCCUAAUGGAACAGACAACAAAAAUUAUUUUUAUUGCCCCAUGUUACUAAAUUAUGAUCUCUUCAGUUAAAUUGAUAUUUAGAGUUCGUUAGAUAGUGAUUUUAGAAAAUAUUUUUUUUUAAUAAGGUGUUUGAUAAAAUUUAGACAAUACUUUUAAAAAUAUAAAAAAUCAUUUAUAAUAUUAAAAAAUCACUUUUAUUGUUUUCCAAAAAAAAUACUUAUAAAUAAUUCUCUUAAAAUCAUUUUCAAAUAAAACAUUUUUAUUAAAAAUACUUUGAGUAGAAAUAUUAUCAAACAUACUUGUAUUAUUGUAUCGAGCACCAUUUUCAAAUAAAAUAUUUUUAUUAAAAAUACUUUGAGUAAAAAUAUUAUCAAACAUACUUAUAUUAUUGCAUCAAGCACCAGAUAUUAAAAACAUAUGAGUGUUUUGUAUCAAUGGAGUAAAUAUGAAAUAAAAACACUCAUUUUAUUAUUAAAGACAAAAGAAUUUAUUACUUGAAUUAUUUUCAUUUUCAAUAUCCUUGAAUGAUCACUAAACAUGUUCCUUGAAUAUGCCUCCCCGAGAUGGUUAGAAAAUGAAAAUAUAUAUAUCUAAUAAAAAUACCCAAAAAUAAAAAUAAAAAGUUGGAAAAGAGCAUGAGGGGGAUGUAUGUAGAAAAAUUGACUAGUAGAUCCAAGUGGCACCACAUGUAGAGCUAUCAUGAAUUGAAAAGGCUGCUACAUAUUCCACUUUUUUAAGACUCACCCUCACUCCCACACAUCUCGCUUUUCCCUUAUUUUAAUGCCAUUUGUCCUUUUCCUCACCUUUUUUCUAUUAUUUUCCGUUAUUUCUCAUCAUCAUCCUCAUCUCCCUCCUCCCCUCAUCUGUCUCCCUUUCACCAUCUUCCAUCAUCACCCUCUCAAUUCCCAUUCCAUCCCACGCUCCCCUCUCUCCCUCCUCCAAUAUUAACACCUCACCACAAUUUAUUAUUUGAGUUAUUUGUCCCCUUCGUACUCACAUCUCAUGGGUCUCAACCUGGAGGAACUCCGCCCAAUUACUCCUAUACGAGUGGCUGCGAUCUCAACUCGGCCAGCCAAUCUCACCACCACGCCCGAAUUCAAGGAGCUGCAUUCGGAAGAUGAGGAGUGUCGGACGCCCAAAUCCGAAGAUCAAGUCUUGAGGCCGCCUCUGGUGUGCCCGCCGGCUCCAAGGAAGCCUCGGCCGGCGAAGAGAAAAGCUGCUGGCCCUGCUCCACGUGAAUUCUUCCAAGUGCCCUAUGAUCUAGCCUCCAUUUUUGUGGUUCUCUCACAGCCUUCAAAGAAGAUGAGGUCAAGUUGAUUUUUUUUUCUCUCUUGUUAUUUUUAGGAUUGUUCUCCAUUGUUAUGCCUUUUUUUUUUUCCCUUUUUUUUUUGGUUUGUAUUUGUUAUUUCAAUAUUGAUGUGUAGAAAAGGGUGUAAAUGAAAAUUGUAUUAUUCCGAAUAAUGAAGUUUGUUGUGGCUUGUUUGUGAUUUUUUUGUUAAGAAAAGAUUUAUUUAGUAAAUGAUUUUAGGAAGUAUUUUUAAUUUUAAAAAUAUUUCAUAAAAUUAUUAUUAAACUCAUAUCUAAAAUUUUUUUUCGUUCAUUAAUAUUUCAUCAAUAAAUAGAAAUAGGAUCUUGAUAUUCUCUUUUAAAUCGAUCAUUUUAAAUUAAAACUAUAAAAUUUAUACAAGAAAAUUUAUAUUGAUAAUAUUUUGAAUAUAUUUUUUAAUAUAUAAGGAUGAAAUUUUGGAUAUUUUUUAGUUUUAAAUAAUAAAAUUAUUUAAAUGAAAAGGAUGUGAAUGAAAAUAAGAAAAUUUAUAUUGAUAAUAUUUAUAUAUAACAAUAAAAAUAAAAAUAAAAACGACCUUUUAGUGAUCAAAAACAGUGGGUCAGAUAAUUUGAAGAAAAGGCCAAACUUUAUUAAGAAACUUUUCAGACAAAAAAAAAGAAAAAAAAAAAGAAAGGACUCAAUUGAUUGAAGCCAACUAAAUGAUAUCUCACUUUCUCACCAGAAGUUCUACUCAUUCAAAUGGUUAGGUUGGUUUUUCUUUGGAAUCAUAUAAUUGAGAAAGAAUAUUCUUCAUGAGUUUGGUACAUGAAAAUGGAGAAAAAAAAAAGCACAAAAUAUAAAAUAUAAAAUAUAAAAUUUUAAUAGGAAUGAGUUUUAAUUUGCUUUUAAUUUUUAUGAUAUUAUUAUUUUUAAUAAGCAUUAUUCUUAUUUUUAUUUUCCUAUUUCAGCAUUAAGUAUUUCUCAUUGGAGUGGGUUUUUCCACUGUUAAAAGCAAUAUUUAAAAGUUAAAAACAAAUUUUAAAAAUGUUUGGAUAAAUUUUUUUAGGAUGAGUUCGAGACUUCAAAAUGUGAUUUAAACAAAGACACCCGCACUUUUUCGCAAACAUGAAAAUGGAAAUAUAUUUUUUUAAUUAAUUUUGUUUAAAAUAUCGUAAUUAAAUUCAAUUAUUUACAUUAAUGAUUAAUUCUACUUCUUUUAUUGUUAAUCGCAAAAGUUAAUUAGGUGUUAUCCCAAAUGAGAUUAUACUGUUUUAACAUUAUGAGGAAUUUGAUUCCUUGUUUGUUUUUAUAGAAGGAAUUUGAUUCCUUGUUUGUAUUUAUAAAAAAGAAAGAAAAAGCCACAAGCAAUCUCUUCUCUUUUAUUAUUAUUAUUAUUAUUAAAGAAAAAAUCAUAAGCAAUUUAAUUAUUAUUAGGAGGAGGAAUUUGAGUCCUUGUUUGUUUUUAUAAGAAAAAAAAAAUCAUGAGUAUUUUUCUUCUUCAAUUUCAUGCCUUGUUUGUUUUUAUAAAAAGAAUAAAUAAAUAAAAAAAAAUCAAAGCAUUCUUCUUCUUCUUCUAUUAUUAUUAUUAUUAUUAUUAUUAUUAUUAUUAUUAUUAUUAUUAUUAUUAUUAGGAGGUGGAGGAGGAGAAAUUUGAUUUUUUAUGAAAAAAAAGAAGAAAAAAUCAUAAGUUUUUUUGUUCUACUACUCGGUUUCAAAAAAAUACUUUUUUUGUUUGAUUUAUAAAAAAUACUAACAAAAUAGAAAAAAAAUAUCAAAGAAAAUAAUUUUUUAAUAUUUGAUUAAUCAAAUAAAAUAUAAGAGAAAAUUAAAUAUAAUUAAAACUUAUUAGAAAUUGAUACAUUUUCAAAGUAUUUAAUUUUUAUAUAAAAAAAAAAAAGAAAAAUAAGUGAAAUGGGUGUGAGAAAACAUAUAAAAAUUAUUUAUUAAUUUUAAAUUUAUUUCAGUUUAUCUCUUUUAUUUGAAUUUUUUUUCUAUUUUUUUCAUUACAUUUUCCAUCAAAGACACAUGAAGGCUUCACAAUAAGCCAAUGCCACAUUCCAUAUAUAAUAAUUAGAAAGGAGAAAUAGGUUAAAAUGAAAUUAUUUUUAUUAAAUUUGUUAGGUGAAGGAAAAUUUUCAUAAAUAAUUUAACCAAUUAUCCAUAUAGAAAUCGAAUUUAGUCUAAUUAUGAGAGAGAGGAUCUUAAACCUAACAUUAGUAACUUAAGUACUUAACCCAACUAAAUAAACCUAAAUUUAACAAAGUUGAAUGUCAUUAAAUAUUUUUGAAGUUUAUUAUUAUUGUUAUUUGAAUGAUGUUUAGUGUUAAUUUGUUUCUUUUAAUUAAUGUCUUAAUAGUAUUAAGGCUAAAAUUUAUUUAUUUAUAUUAGGAACAUAUAUAAAAUUAAAUAUUAUAUUUUUUUUCUUAUUUUAAAAAUAUUUGAAAACUAGUUAUUUUAAAAAAAUAGUGAUUUAUGGUGUUUCAAAAGAUCAUAAUUUAUUAUAAUAAUAAAAUUUUAUAAUAGUUAAUUAUAUAAUUAGUUUAAAAAAAUUGAUAAUUGAUAGUAAUUAGGGUUUCUAAUUAUGUUUGGUUGUUAAGAAAAUCUUAAAAAUUUUAUAAGGUGAUGUUUGUUUUUUUGACCGAAUAGAAAAAGGCAAAAGUAAUUUGUUGAUAAUUGAUUUUUUCUAUUCACCUAAAAGUAACUUGUUGAUAUCAACCAAUAUAACUAAAAUGAACCUAACAUGACUAAAAUGAACUUAUUAUUCAAUAGUUUCAAUUUAGUUAUGUUGGUUUAUAAAACAAAUUAUUUUUAACUGAAUAGAAAAAACUAAAUAUUUUAACUUUUCUUAUUUAGCUAAAAAACAAACACCAAUUUCGAAGAGUCUUCUCCCAUGUGAAGAGAUUCAUUCUGUCUCUCCCUCCAACACCAACCAUGGACAUAUCGUUUGAAUUCCUUCAAUCCUACCAACCAUUCCUUUUGGGACUCGAGACCAUUCCUUUUGGGACUCGAGACAAGGAGGGAAUAAAGGCAUAAAGAGUGAAUUUCAUUACAAAGAAGACCUUACCAACUUGACUUAAUAGGACAGGCACAUUUCCAACCCGAAAGCUUUUUGUUGAAUUUCUUUGUAACUUAAUUUCAGAAUUCAUCUCUUUAUCUUCCCAACAUACCCUUCUAAAAAAAAUGAAUUGACUAUUGAACAACCAAACACAUUCUGCCCGACUCUCGUAAUGGGGAUAAUUGUUUCAAAAGACAGAAACAGAGAAUAGGUAAUAACGUCUCUAAUAUUGACCUUGUUUCAUUGAUUUUAUGUGAUAGAUCUUUGGUUUAUGAAUUUAUGAUUGAAAUGUGUAUUUCAUUAUUGACAGUAAUUCAUUAAUUUUUCAGAUUUUUAAUUUGAGAAAUAUUAUAUAGUUUAUUUUAUUUUUAUUAUACAAAUUAAGUAAUUUUAUGUUAGUUUUGUUUUUAAAUAACAAUUUAUGAAAAUUUAAAAUUCAUUUUUCUUAAAAAAUAAGAGUAAAAUGGGAAAAAAUAUUUCACUGAUAUUGAGUUUUUUUAUUGAUGAAAAUUUUACUAAUUUAUAGUAAAUUUAUUUAUCAUCCAAAUUAUAUAAAAUUGAGGCAAUUUAAUUUGUUUCUAAGACAAUAAUUAUUUAAAAUUUUCAAAAAUGAAAUUGACUUUAUUUUGUGUGAAAAAUCGGACUUAAACAUUCCAAUGAAGUUAAAAAGUGAAAAAGGAAAAAGUACCUUUUUCUUAUUAAGAUUUUAAAAAAAUUAAAAAUCAACCUUAACUUUUUCCUAUUACUUCUUUGCUUUCUUUUGGAUUGAAAAAAUUUGGAAAGAUGAGUAAUGAAAUUACAACUUUACCCUUUGAUUCACCCUUUUUUAUUACUCUUUUGCUUAUGUUGAGUUAAAAAUAUAUAUAAAAUCAAGAAAAUUAGGCUAAAGAAAAAAUAAUAAAAAUUAUAUAAUUUAUUUCUUAUUUUAUUUUAAGAAAUUAAAUUAUUUGAAAUAUAUUUUUCCUAAAAAAAGAUUAAAAAUUUUCAUAUAUUUGUAGAAAAUCCAGUAAAAAAGGAAAUUUAAUUUUCAAUUUCUUUGGAAUAGAAAACCAAACCCUAUGGUUACUAUGUCAUUUUACACAUGUAAUAAUAAACUUUAAUAAUUAUUCAUGGCUAACUAAAAAACUUUGUUACUAUAAUAGAAUAAAUAGUUAUUUUUCAUGUGCACUCAUUAAUUGAAUAAUGAAGUUUGCUUUGGCUUGUUUGUGAUUUUUUGGUUAAGAAAAUAAUUGUUUUGACAGUGAUUUUAAGAAGUAUUUUUAAUGGUAUCUUGAUAUUCUCUUUUAAAUUGAUCAUUUUUAUUUAAAAUUAUAAAAUUUAUACAAGAAAAUUCAUAUUGAUAAUAUUUUGAAUAUAUUUUUUAAUAUAUAUGGAUGAAAUUUUGGAUAUUUUUUAGUUUUAAAUAAUAAAAUUAUUAAAAUGAAAAGGAUGUGAAUGAAAAUAAGAAAAUUUAUAUUGAUAAUAUUUAUAUAUAAAAAUAAAAACUACCUUUUAGUGAUCAAAAACAGUGGGUCACAUAAUUUGAAGAAAAAGACAAACUUUAUUAAGAAACUUUUCAGAAAAAAAAAAAAAAAAAGAAGAAAAAAAGAAGAAAGGACUCAAUUGAUUGAAGCCAACUAAAUGAUAUCUCACUUUCUCACCAGAAGUUCUACUCAUUCAAAUGGUUAGGUUGGUUUUUCUUUGGAGUCAUAUAAUUGAGAAAGAAUAUUCUUCAUGAGUUUGGUACAUGAAAAUGGAGAGAAAAAAAAUACAAAAUAUAAAAUAUAAAAUUUUAAUAGGAAUGAGUUUUAAUUUGCUUUUAAUUUUUAUGAUAUUAUUAUUUUUAAUAAGAAUUAUUCUUAUUUUUAUUUUCCUAUUUCAGCAUUAAGUAUUUCUCUGUGGAGUGGGUUUUUCCAUUGUUAAAAGCAAUAUUUAAAAGUUAAAAACAAAUUUUAAAAAUGUUUGGAUAAAUUUUUUUACGAUGAGUUCGACUUCAAAAUGUGAUUUAAACAAAGACACCCGCACUUUUCUGCAAACAUGAAAAUGGAAAUAUAUUUUUUAAUUAAAUUUUUUAAAAAUAUCAUAAUUAAAUUCAAUUAUUUACAUUAAUGAUUAAUUCUACUUCUUUUAUUGUUAAUAGCAAAAGUUAGGUGUUAUCCCAAAUAAGAUUAUAACGUUUUAACAUUAUGAGGAAUUUGAUUCCUUGUUUGUUUUUAUAAGAAAAAAAGAAAAUAUCAUAAGUAUUUUUCUUCUUCAAUUUAAUGCCUUGUUUGUUUUUAUAAAUAAAUAAAAAAUCAAAGCAUCCUUCUUCUUCUUCUACUAUUAUUAUUAUUAUUAUUAUUAUUAUUAUUAUUAUUAUUAUUAUUACAAUUAUUAUUAUUACAAUUAUUAUUACUACUAUUAUUGUUAUUACUAUUGUUAUUUUUAUUUUUAUUAUUAUUAUUACAAUUACUAUUAUUAUUAUUAUUAUUAUUAUUAUUAUUAUUAUUAUUAUUAUUAUUAUUAUUAUUAUUAUUAAAGGAAAAAUAUAAGCAAUCUUAUUAUUAGGAGGAGGAGAAAUUUGAUUUUUUAUGAAAAAGAAAGAAAAAAUUAUAAGUUUUCUUCUUCUACUACUCAAUUUCUAAAAAAUAUUUUUUCUUUGUUUGAUUUAUGAAAAAUACUAAUAAAAUAGAAAAAAAAAUAUUAAAGAAAAUGAUUUUUUUUUUUUAAUAUUUGGUUGAUCAGAUAAAAUAUAAGAGAAAAUUAAAUAUAAUUAAAACUUAUUAGAAAUUGGUACAUUUUCAAAGUAUUUAAUUUUUGUAUCAAAAGAAAAAGAAAAAUAAGUGAAAUGGAUGUGAGAAAACAUAUAAAAAUAAUUUAUUAAUUUUAAAUUUAUUUUAGUUUAUCUCUUUUAUUUGAAUUUUUUUCUAUUUUUUUCCUUACAUUUUCUGUCAAAGACACCUGAAGGCUUCACAAUAAACCAAUACCACAUUCCAUAUAUAAUAAUUAGAAAGGAGAAAUAGGUUAAAAUGAAAUUAUUUUUAUUAAAUUUGUUAGGUGAAGGAAAAUUUUCAUAAAUAAUUUAACCAAUUAUCCAUAUAGAAAUCAAAUUUAGUCUAAUUAUGAGAGAGAGGAUCUUAAACCUAACAUUAGUAACUUAAGUACUUAACCCAACUAAAUAAACCUAAAUAUAACAAAGUUGAAUGUCAUUAAAUAUUUUUGAACUUUAUUAUUAUUGUUAUUUGAAUGAUGUUUAGUGUUAAGUUGUUUCUUUUAAUUAAUGUCUUAAUAGUAUUAAGGGUAAAUUUUAUUUAUUUUUAUAUAUUAGGAAAAAUAAAAUAAAAUAUUAUAUUUUUUUCUUAUUUUAAAAAUAUUUGAAAACUAGUUAUUUAAAAAAAAUAGUGAUUUAUGGUGUUUCAAAAUAUCAUAAUUUAUUAUAAUAAUAAAUUUUAUAAUAGUUAAUUAUAUAAUUAGUUUUAAAAAAAUGGUGAUUGAUAGUAAUUAGGGUUUCUAAUUAUGUUUGGUUGUUAAGAAAAUCUUAAAAAUUUUCUAAGGUGAUGUUUGUUUUUUUGGCUGAAUAGAAAAAGGCAAAAGUAACUUGUUGAUAAUUGACUUUUUCCAUUCACCUAAAAGUAACUUGUUGAUAUCGACGAAUAUAACUAAAAUGAACCUAACAUGACUAAAAUGAACUUAUUAUUCAAUAGUUUCAAUUUAGUUAUGUUGGUUUAUAAAACAAAUUACUUUUAACUGAAUAUAAAAAACUAAAUAUUUUAACUUUUCUUAUUUAGCUAAAAAACAAACACCAAUUUCGAAGAGCCUUCUCCCAUGUGAAGAGAUUCAUUUUGUCUCUCCCUCCAACACCAAACCAUGGACAUAUCGUUUGAAUUCCUUCAAUCCUACCAACCAUUCCUUUCGGGACCCCACACAAGGAAGGAAUAAAGGCAUGAAGAGUGGAUUUCAUUACAAAUAGACCUUACCAGCUUGACCUAACAUGAGAAGCACAUUUCCAACCUGAAAGCUUCUUAUUGAAUUUCUUUGUAACUUAAUUUCAGAAUUCAUCUCUUCAUCUUCCUAACAUACCUUUCUGAAAAAAAUGAAUUGACCAAACACAUUCUGCUCAGUCCUCAUAAUGGGGAUGAAGGAAGAACACAUUACUUGUUUCAAAAGAUAGAAACAGAGAGUAGGGUAAUAACGCUUUCUAAUAUUAACCUGGAUUCAUUGAUUUUAUAUGAUAGUUCUUUAGUUUAUAAAUUUAUGAUUGAAAUGUGUAUUUCAUUAUUGAGAUUAAUUCAUUAAUUUUUCAAAUUUUUAAUUUGAGAAAGAGCACCAAAUCUUAAGUUCCUAACCUUUUGUUUUUCUAUAUUAAUUAGAAUUGUUGACUUUAGUGGAUAUCUAGGUUAUGGCGAAUUACCUUUUGAAUUCUAAUUAAAUAAAUAUUAUAUAGUUUAUUUUAUUUUUAUUAAAUGGCAAGAGGUUGAAUUUUGAAAAUUUAAAAUAAAUUCAUAUAUAAUCAAAAUUUUUAUGAUUUUUAGUGCUUAUAUUUUCGUUUUGGAGAGAGAAAAUUAUAAUAUAAAAAAAUAUAUGUAAAAAAUAAUGGUUACAUACUUACAUGUGAUAAGAUUCAAUUUCAGUUUUAAAACUUUUUAGGAUUUUAUACAAAUUAAGUCAUUUUUAUGUUAGUUUUGUUUUUAAAUAACAAAUUUAUGAAAAUUUUAAAUUUUAAAUUUUCUUAAAAAAUAAGAGAAAAAUGGGAAAAAUUAUUUCACUCAUAUUGAGUUUUUUAUUGAUGAAAAAUUUACUAACUUAGAGUAAAUUUAUUUCUCAUCCAAAUUAUAUAAAAUUGAGGUAAUUUAAUUUGUUUCUAAGGCAAGAAUUAUUUAAAAUUUUCAAAAAUGAAAUUGACUUUAUUUUGUGUGAAAAAAUCGGACUUAAACAUUGCAAUGAAGUUAAAAAGUGAAAAAGGAAAAAGUACCUUUUUCCUGUUAAGAUUAAAAAAAAUUAAAAAUCAACCUUAACUUUUUCCUAUUACUUCUUUGCUGUCUUUUGGGUUGAAAAAAUUUGGAUAGAUGAGUAAUGAAAUUACAACUUUAUACCCUUUGAUUCAUCUUUUGCUUACGUAGAGUUAAAAAUAUAUAUAGGUAAAAAUUAAUAAGAAAAAAAUAUAAAAAUCAAGAAAAUUAGGUAAAAGAAAAAUAUUAAAAAACAAUAUAAUUUUUGCUUAGAAAUUAAAUUAUUUGAAAUAUAUUUUUCCUUACAAAAAUUCAUAUUUUUGUAGAAAAUUCAAUAAAAAAAAAUAAUUUUCAAUUUCUUUGGAAUAGAAAACCAAACUGUAGACCCCUUUUAACAGGCCACCCGGGAGGAGUAAUUUUCAUUUUUUAGGGGUGGGGGAUGGCUACCAACGGCACAUGCAUGGGACGCGUGGUGAAAGGCACCACCACCUCGCCAUGGUGGUGGUUGAGAAUGGAGACGAGGCUGAUGGCUGGAAUAGGAGAGCAGUUGGGAAAGAAAAAAAGGGGGGGGGGGGGGGAAGCUGGACGGUGGAGGAGAGGCCCAGGCGGAGUCGCGGAGAGCAGGGAAAGAGCUUGUUAGUUCGAUCCAGGUAUGAUUUCCGCACUAUUUUGUAUAUUCUAAAGAGAUCUAUCCUGUUUCUUGAUAGUUUUUUGGUUUUAUUUGUUGGUUUGCUGUGGACAUCAAGAGCCACAAGAUGGUUUUGGUUGAAUGUGAUUAUCUGCCCAUAUAUGCUCUAUUUUGGUCCUCUUUGAUGCUCUCGUUUUUUUUUUUUCCCUUGUAAAUGGCCCAUGUGCAUGGAGAAAAGUUUAACUUGUCCAAGUAAAGGCUUCAUGUUCUCAUGAUGAAUAACACGGUUACCACAUGCCUACACCUUCUUCACUGUUCGCGUCAGCCAUACCCAUUUCCUCACUCAAGCUUGCAAGAAUCAAGCAUCCUCCACCACACCCAUUUUCCUCUCAUUCAUUCUCCAUCCCACUUCCUCACUUACAUGGAGUCUUACGGGUGCAUGCUAUCCUUCACUCCUUCACAUACCCAUUAAAACCAUUCACCCAAGCCUCCAUAUCCAUACAACUCAUACUCAUCCUUCAUGCUACUCAUAACCAUGUUCUACCAUACCCAUGUGUACACCCAUUUAAUCAUACCACCAAACCCGUUUUUCUCUCUAAACCUUCACCUACCUGUGGGAUCCUCCCUAAAAAAAUGUCACGUGGCUCUCUCUCCCUUGCACACGCAGAUGGUCCCCUUUGCGACACGCGGCAUAGCUCAUUCCACCCGGGGAAAAAUUCUGUCCGGCCGACGUUCAACCUUCUCCGGAUAUCUCACAUCCGGAAUUCUGUCCGGCCGACAUUCAACCUUCUCCGGAUAUCUCACAUCCGGAAUUAUGUCCGGCCGACGUUCCACCUUCUCCGGAUAUCUCAUAUUUGAAAUUAUGUCCGACCGACGUUCCACCUUCUCCGGAUAUUUCACAUCCAACACCCGACGCCGGAUGGGAGAGGAGAGCGAUUCAACUCCCCGAUCAGACAUGUCCGGAUCCUCUGAUAGCGCUUACCCGGAGAGCAUCUGCAGCCGACAAUUCAAAUUCCUCUGACAGCUUGGCUCGUCAGACACUCGCGAUUCGCCAGAUCCAUUUCCGCCCACAAUCAAAAAGCAAACUCCGAUAAUACUGACGACCAAGUCUCCUGAACUGUCACUCAUCUUUAAUGCAAGAUAGAUUAGGCUUUGGUGAGGGCCCCACACGCGUGAUUUUGUGAUCGAUUGGUGGAUUGAUUGAUUUGAUUGCUAUAUGUGAUUGAUUUACACUAUUCUAUGAUACACACACGAUUAUUUUGUGUUUAAUUGCUAACAUUUGUUUUCAUUGAAGUAAACCAGUUCAUCACUCAGGUACAUUAUUUGUCUCUCCUAUUCAUUCAAUUAUUUUGUUUUGAGUGAUAUUCAUUCAAUAUCCAUGCUCGAUUAAUUAAUUGUCAUGAUUGCUCCAUUUUAUUAGUAGAGACCCGUUUUUAGGGACUUAAAAAGGUACUACGGUUUUUACCGUACCUUCUUGAUAAGUAACCUGACCCCCGAACCCGAUCCGGUUUUUCGCAGACUACCUUUUCCAAAAUAAGGAGUCACACUUAGAGUUUUCUUUCUUAUUUUGUUUACCCUUUAAAAAUAAAACAAAAAUAAGUGGCGACUCCAAGUCAUUUUUCUUAAUCAAUAAAAAUCAAUUUUUCAAAUAAAAAUCGAGCUCGCCAUCGAGUGGGAAACGCAUGAGCCGAAAUGCGAGGUCCACAUAAACCCUAUGGUUACUAUGUCAUUUUACACAUGUAAUAAUAAACUUUAAUAAUUGUUCAUCGCGGACUAAAAAUCUUUGUUACUAUAAUAGAAUGAAUAGUUAUUUUCAUGUAGACUCAUUAAUUAAAUAACACACAAAUAUUUGAUUGGUAGUAUAGCUUAUAAAAUUAAAAAAUUUCUAAAUUAGGUUAUGUCAUAAUGUAUUAUAAUGUUGAUUUAUUUAUAUUAUGUGUAUAAUGCAUUUAUAUCGUAUCUAUUUUUUAUAACAAAAUUAAUAAUUUUAUAUUAUAAAUACUUAUUUAUAUUGUAUCGACAUUGAUAUUAACAACCCAUCAUGUCAGUAUGUUAACAUCAUUAACUAAAUAUAUUAAAAUUAUUUUAUCAUUUUUAUUAAAAAUAAAAAUAAAAACUAUAAAUAUUGUGAGUUUAAAUUAGUAUUUCAUUUGGUUUUAAAAAUGGUUUUAUAUAAACAUGUUGGAGAGAGUAUAGCACGAUCAUAGAAAACCGUGAGAAAUAAAAAAAGUUCAAAAUUUUCUCAACUACAUUUUGUUGUGAUGUAUUAUAAUGUUAGUAUAUUUAUAUAAUACGAUACCUAUAUUUUAUAACGAAAGUAAUGAUAGUAGAGAUAUUUUUUUACACCUCGUUGACAUCCAACACAUCAUACCAAUAAUACGAGGGCCACAUGCUUUAAAUGUCCUGAAUGAAAAAAUAAAAAUCACGUUGUUUGCUUUAAGACGCUUUAAAUGUCUCUUUAAAUGCCAAGAAAAUAUGUCACUCGCUUUAAUUGAAGGAUGGUUGUAGAUUUUUGGCCUCUUAUCUUGCUAAAUGACCUUCGGAAAUUUUCCCUCUUUUGUCUUCUUCACAAGAAUUGUCAAAAUACAAUCUUUUGGGUCAAUAUCACAUCAAGUCCACCCUAUUUGAUAAUUUUAUCCUUUCUAUUAGGGAUGACAAGGGGCGGGGUUUUCCGGUACCCACCCCGCCCCUAAUAAGAUGGGAUUCAAUUUUAAUAAAGAGGUUUAGGACGGGAUUGAGAAUUUUUUCUUAAACUCGGGGCAAUUGCCCCGCCCCCACCCCACCCCACCCCAGCUCCGAUUAUAUAUAAAAUUAAUUUAAUUUAAUUUUUAUUUUACUAUUUUUAAUAUAUAGAUAAUAAUAAAAUAAUUUUAAUAAAAUAAUUUUAAUAAAAUAAUUUAUAAAAAAUAUAAUAAUUUAAUUAUUUAUAAAUUAUAUUUAUUUUAAUGUAAUUAAAAAUUUUAAAGUAAUUUAAAAAAAUAAAAAUUUAAAAAAAAAGUUAAACAGGACGAAGUGGGACGGGACGAGUAUGAAAAUUUAUCAUACCCGCCCCACCCCGUUUAAUUUUUUAAAUGGAACGGUGAUGAGAAUAAUUUUGAAUAAACGGGGCUAGGUUGGGAUGAGGAUGACCUGUCUCGAACCCGUUACCAUCCCUACUUUCUACAAGUGAUAUAUAUAUAUAUAUCAUGUCUAUAUGGGGUUUUUUUUUUUAUCUCUUUCUUAUGAAAAACCUUAAUAUUGUGGCCUAUUUAACAUUUAAAUAUAGUUUAAGAUUAUUUAAAAAAAAUAGGUUAAAUAAAACCACAAGUAAAACUACAAUAAUGCCCUUUAGUCCUCACCAGCCAAAUUUACAUCAAUUACUAGUAAAAACUAUGCAAAUCAUUGUGCCUAGCUACUAGCCAAAACUUUCAAAAAGAGUAAAAUCUUUUGAAGAAUUGCAACAAAAUCAAUCUAUGGCUAAGGAGGAUACAUAAAUGUAAAUGUAUAUAACAAAGCAACUUCUUCUCAAGCACAGAUAUGUACCUUAUUGGAGAUUGAAUGAAAAAAUGCCAUUGAUUAAAGGAAUUACAUCCAUCGAUCACUGCUCUCUUCAAUUGCAUUUGCUUCUACAGAGCAGCAGAAGGCCCAUAGAAAUAAUUAAUUGAAUUUUCACCUUCCAUCAACAGAAAAACAAUGAACCAGAUUGCACAAUUUGCUGAGACUUCUCACUUGUACCUCCCUGCCAAGAAACAUAUGUUUUCAUUGAAUCGCAGUAACUCUGAUGGUAGCAUGUUAGCAGCGAAACCACAGCCAUUAUAUCACCAGCAAAGCGUAUAUAGCAGUAAAAUAUUGUGUUCAUCAUCUCUUCCCCAUUGAUGUAGUAGGGAGACAAUUAAAAUAGGUGGGUUUCAUGAUUUUCUCAUCUUCCACCAAGUUUUGGAAAACAUAAAUGAAAAUAGUGCCUUCGCAACAUCAUAUUUUCUCAUGGUAAUACUUUAAAAAAUCCAACAUUAAAAGUCCCGUCAUUACAUACAAACAGUUAGAGAAAUGGGUUUUCUUAGGACAUACCUUAAGUGACACGAAUCAGAAGCACAACCAUUAUGAAGAUACAAGUCAUCACAAAUAUCAUAAUCCACGUGAAGCAUGUGGUCUUAAAACUAUUUGAGUAUAUAUCCAUAGCUCGUGUAUUGACAUGGCCAGUGCUUGCCAAGCUAUGCUCAACUGCCUUCUCUGUAGAAUCAAGUAUCUGCACUCAAAGCAUGACUAAGCUAUAACUGAUCAUUAAGCAAGACAAAUAUGUAAACACAGGGAAGGAAUGUAAUAGCUAUCCAACUUCUUUUCUUUUCUUGGAUGAUUAACUCCAUCUGAGAAAGAAUAACUGACAUGAAUUUUUUUUUUAGGAUCAUUACACAUAAAGCAACUCAAAUGCAUUGGUAUGGAAUCUCAACAACUUUUUACCAGAUAUAUUAGCAAACAAAACACAUUCUACUAAUGCAGAACAUGGUGGUAGCUACAGCUGAUGAAAAGGAGAGACGACGAAUGGGACGGUGGGAGGUGCUGUUGGUGGUAUAGGUAGCAUUUGUGGCAGUGCUGUGUGGAGUUGGGUUCAUAGUGAUCUAUUUUACUUGUACACAAACACAAAAAUUUCACAGCCAUUGGCUCCACCAUCAUGAUGCAUAGUUUAUCUUCUUAGCAAGAAAAGGUGAUUACUCUGGCCAUUGGUAAAGGUAAAUCAUGCUUUUAUGGGUAACUUGGAAGUUUGGCCUGAAAAUAUGGGCCCUAUGUCAAGUUCGUGGUGCAGAAAUUUGGAGAAAUGGAAUGAGGAUGCAUGAUAAAAUGGAAACAACUCAUUACUACAUCAAUAGGCUAUCCAUUGAAAUUGGAAAUGCUACUCUGUUAGUUUGCUAUUGUGUGUGACGUGGAACAUAAAAACAUCAAUUGGCAAGUUUAGUUUCAUAUCUUGACAACUACAAUUUAUGUUUCUGACAUCACCAGACUCCUGCUUCUUUACAAACUAUUCAAAUCUAAUGAAAGUCGUUUAAAUAAAAUAAAAUAGAUCUUCAAGAAAGCAAGGAUUUUAGAAUGUAAUCAAAUCAGCCCCAGAUGUAUUAAACAAUGAAUAGUUUUAGGAGAGGAAUAAAACUCAUAUAACCUAUAAUAUAAUUUUUUUAAAAUAACCCACAUAAAAAAUGCAAUUAACUAAUUAUAAAAAAAAAUUGAAUAUUGGAUCUAUUAUUUUCUGUGACUAAGAUUUAUUGUAAGCAUGAUUGUCGAAGAAUAAAGAAUGGACUACCAAACUGCCCAAUUCCAGCUAAAAAAGCAAAAAAAUAAAAAUGGAAAAACAUGAGAUUCACUCAAAAAGCUAUGUUUUCAUUUUGCACAAAUGACAUUCAUUUGAAGCUGUGGUUCAUAUGCAUCAGCAGAUUUCAGCACCAAUGUGUGAUGUAAUGCAAGAUUACAUAAUAAAAAACCAAAACUCACUUUUUCAGUGUUCUGAAUGGACUGGCUCAUCAAGAGACUACUCUGCUUGAGCUGCUUUGCCAAUCCAACCAUUUCAUCUGUCAGGUCUUCUUGAAGCUUCCUGUCAGAGAGGAAAAAUAAAAAUUUGCAAGAACAAAAUGUUUAGAAAGACAAAUAGGCUAAUAUUCAAAUUUCUCAAAGCUUUCGUUCUGAAGUCGUUCUCCGAAUCUCAAGUCAAGCAAUCGCAAAAUAGGUUUGAAUGUGGUAAUCAAAUAAGGACUCUUAUGCCAACUGUACUAGUGACCUACUGACCUGAGCCCUUUUCUGAGCAGAGCCAAGGGUAACCCAGAAAACUGGGAGCCCAAGCAACUAAACAGCCCAAACCAUGUGACUCAAUUUAUGAUUUUUAUUUUAUUUCACAACAAAGGGAAAUAAAUAUAGCAGAAAAAAUACCACCCAUACACAGAUUUUGUGCACUCAAGUUGGUUUGUCAAGAUUUUGGCGCUACACAAAAAUUGCAUCGGAGUGCUAGAUUUGAUAUUCAGUGGAUUGGCAUGACCUUGAUAUGAAGGGUAUUAAGAUUUUGAGACUUAACAAAAAUUGAGGUGCUAAUUCGACACCUAGUUGAUUCGUCAUGACUAUUGAAGCAUAGCAAUGUUACAAUAUCAACAUUUAAUGCACAUUUGAGCGCAUCGGAGUGUUAGGUUUGACAUCCAACUAAUUAGUCAUGGCCCUGAUGCAAACCGUGUUGAAAUUUUGGCAUUUUCAAGAGAUGAGGUGUUACUUUAACUCUUUAGCACAGAUUGGUAUGACCCCAUGGAUAUUGGUACCAUAAUUUCAACAUCAUAUAAAAAAUUCUUAACUCAUCUCUGGAUUUGCUCUUUUUUUUUUUUCCUACAGAGAUGAUUUGCUUUGAGUGCUUUAAGGAAAAUGCUAUAACUAUACUUGAAGAUGGAAGUGAUGAAUUUAUGGAGGGAAUAACUUUGCCCAUCCAUAAGUCACUGGUUCUCAAGCCUUAAAAGUAUUGACAAAGGAGGACUCUUUUCACAUUCUUUCUUGGUCUCGAAUUGCUACUUUUGGGUUAACAAAAACAUUCAAAGAUUAGUGAAGUGGAGUUUGUUUCCAAUGUCUUAUCACUCAACUCUUCUCAUGCUGAAGCCAGUGUGGAAUCUCAAUUUCAACUCCUCAAUCAUCGUAUUCAUAACCAAUAAAUUACAUGGGGCACUACUUUUAAAGCUAUUGGAGAGUCCUUUGUCAACAAAUACUAGGAAUGAGUAGACGAUGUGUAGGGCCUCUUUGAUAGCUACUCAAGAAAACCAAGAUAUACGAUACUAUCUUUGCCUCUCUUAUCUAGUUAUGCUCACUAUGCUUCUAUUAACAGGGCUUUUUGUGAAUGUUGGUGUCCAGCUACCAAUACUCUACAUACUUCCAUAGGUGAGAUUUCUAUCUCUCUUUGGGACAUGAACCACACCAUUGGAUUACCCAUUCAUGGGAUAUUUUAUAAUGAAGUGGUGUCAAAGAGUUGUGUAACAAUAAAAGAGAAUUUUCACUUCCAUCAAGUAUUGUUAUUUCUUUUUGGCCUACAUCAACAUUUUUCACAAACGAAAGGCAAACUAGUAAAGAUGACUUCAUAAGUGGUUUUUUGGUAUAAAGGCACAAGAAGGUAUGAGAAACCACCAAAGAAAAGUAGAAGGAACAAGGCACAACAGCCAAAGGAAAUUCACAAUUCUUCCGGAAAUAUUACAGAACUUCCUUCACCACAUACUUGGUGGGAUUUGAAGGUAUUCAAUAUUCUUGAUGUAGCCAAGGAGGACGUGAAUGAGACAUAUCUAGCAGUCUUCCUUGCCUAUUGGUUAUGCCAGUUUGUUAUCCCUGGAAGGAUUAUCAUUUCGAUUGUCCUGGAUUUUCAUGGUGGCAAGACAACUGGCUUUUAGGUGUUCAUUUUGCCUUACAGUUCCAGUGUUGGCUAGCAUUUAUAAAUUGUAAUGGAUAGAAUGAGAUUGUCAACUCCUUUGAUCUUGGGUCAAGUGCAUGUAUCUUCUCGAUCCAUUAUUUGUAUAGUUGGCUAAGUGACUACUUCAACACUCACUUCCUUUCUCCGACAUGGGACCAUUCUCCAUGAAUGACUAGUUGUGUUGGGGAGUUUCUUGCUAAGUAUUUUGAUGAAUCACAAGCAUGAGAUUUGUUCAUAUCUUGCAAGGAUGUGGUAUUAAACCAUUUGGCACCACAAAUCAAGAAUGUGUAGACUUGAUUGAUGACACCUCUUCGCCUAUUUAAAUGUCCUCCAUGUUAAUAAGCAUUCGCUCAGGUUAUUUAACCUUAAGGACUCCAACCAUACAGGCCCCAUCACUUUAGCAGACAGUUUGGCUACCCUCAAGAUGUGUGUGGAAUGUUCAAGAAAUUCCCUAGAAAUGGCACUUUGUUAGAAGUGUAUAAGUAUUGGAACGCAUGCACUAGACUAAGCACCAACUCCAUAUUUACCAUACUUGAUUGUGAUAGUGUUGAGGAAUUCUCGAUUACCAAAGCUUAUGCUGAUUGUUGGUCAAAAGUGCAAUUUAAAAAAAAACACACACACACUUCUACAGCUUCUAUAUAACAGCAUCCUAGCUCCAUUAAACAACAGCCCUCAAAGUCGUUAAACAGUAUAGCAUAAAUGUCUAAGCUAGAUACCCUUAUGAAAAGAAGUGCUCAAGAAAAUUUCAAUUAAGUUUUCCAUGAUGAUUGCAACGAAGUUGCCUGAAGGAUUUCCUCUUCACCUCUGUUGGUGAUUAUCAAGUUAAUUAUACUAUACAUGCAAAGAAAGAGAUGACUAUGCUCUGUGAUGCUAAUAGUCAUGGGGAUCAAACCCAGGGAGGAGAUAAUGUAUUCCUUCUUGAUGUACCAGAUGACAGUUCACAGGAUGUUAGCGAGUGUUACUUCAAGUGUCAAAAGACUGUCUUUCUCUAUGUACUAUGAUGAGGCUAACUCCAACCCACAUGACAUGGAUGUCUUCUUUGAGGAUGUGCCAACAUUGGCUCAAUUAAUGCAGCUUGAAGAACCAGUAAGCUUAAAUUUGCUUAAGUGUCCUCUAUCAUUCUCUAAAUUUGCUUCAAAAUCAAGUUCCUUACUAAAUUUCAAGAAGAUUCUCAAAGUAGGAAAGUCAAGAUCAAACCUGGUUGGCCCUUGACUAAGUCAAUCAAAGAUAGAGAUCACCCUUCCCUUUGUAUGCGUAUGCGACUUGGUUCUUCCUUGAAACAUUGACUUCACUUAAGAUGAAUAGAGAAACUUCAGUCAAAAGAGAUGAAAGGUAGAAGGGUCCCAUUGGGUGAGCACACUCCUCUGUGAUAUUCUUUAAAUCAAAGAAUAUGUGAUCCUCUAAUUUUAUUUUAUUUUUGAUAAGUGAGCACAAAUUGUAUUAAAGGGCAAGAAGCCACAAAGCAUACAGGGAGUAUACAACAUAGCCACACCCAAAAACAAAAGAAACAAGCAGCCUCGCCAGCCCUUAAGUAGCCGUUAGCCACUCCAAAAAGACUAAAAGCGAAGAGGACUCCUCUCCCAUGUACAUUCUAGCCUAACUCUACAAGUUACAAACAAAAUAAUUUUUGAGUUUCUGUAUAUCCAAAGAACCCCCCCAGAGACUAAUCUAUUUCUUUCCUUCCAUACCGUCCAAAAAAUACACAACAGGAUGAAAUACCAGAUUUUUUUCCUCUUUUUCCCCACAAAAGAGCCCCUCCAACUAAGUAACACCUCUUUGACUGUCUCUGAGAACACCCAAUGAACCCCAAACAAGGCAAGGACAAUUUCCUAGAGGACUCUGACCACUAUACAGUGUAAAAGAAUGUGAUUUAUAUUUUCCUCUUCACAACCACACAAAAAACAGCAAUUAGAAAACGGUCACCCUCGUUUUUUAAGCCUAUCCAAAGUGAGGAUCUUCCCCCACGUAGCCUCCCAAGCAAAAAAAGGCAGCUUUAGUAGGGACCUUGUCCACCCAAAUGCAUCUAACCAGGAAGGCGAGGGUAUUGGGAGCAACCAGCAGAUUGUAUGCAUGUCUGACUCCAAAGGUGCCUUGACCCCCACCUUUCCAAACCACUGAGUCCUCUUCUUGGGAGAACUUGAAGUCCCUCAGCAUAUUAAACAAAGCUCUUAUUAAAUCCAGCUCCCAAUCAUUAGAAUCUCUAGUAAAUCUGACAUUCCAGCCCCCUUGACCGAGGCUAGAGUCCCACACCUCAUUAACCGUUGCAUUCCUAUGCACCGCUAAGGCAAAUAACUGAGGAAAAAUUCUGGACAGCACCUCGUUACCACACCAGUGAUCAAUCCAGAAUUUUACCUUAGUCCCCUUACCCACCUUAAACAUUAUGUUAUCCCAACACCAAUUUGCCUCCUUCAAAAUCUCCUUCCACACCCCCACUCCAAACGCCCCCCGAGCUUCAUUAGUCCGCUAGCCAAAGCCUUCUUGACCAUACUUCACCCCGAUCACUUUCUUCCAAAGAAUGUCCUUUUCAAAGGCAAACCUCCAAAUCCACUUGCCCAGCAAGGCUUUGUUAAAGAGAUCAAUCUUCCGAAUACCUAGACCUCCUUUCUCCUUUUGAGUACACACCACCUCCCAAUUGAUUAGGUGGAUUUUCCUUUCCAUUCUUCCCCCUCCCCAAAGAAAGUCUCUUUGCAACUUUUCAAGCCUUCUUGCCACUAUAUUGGGCAUUCGAAAAAGGGACAAUUAAUAAAUAGGAAUGCUGGCCAAAGUGCUCUUGAUGAGGGUAAUUCUCCCGCCCUUAGAAAUGUAUUGUCUUUUCCAAAGGACUAAUCUUCUCCUCAUUCUUUCUUCCACCCCAUCCCACAUAGAUAUGGCCUUGUGGUGGGCUCCAAGGGGCAGCCCCAGAUAAACUGAAGGAAGAGCCCCCACUUUACACCCAAGCUCCACUGCCAUUUCCUCAACUUCUUCUACCUCCCCAAUAGGAAUUAAUUCGCUUUUAGCUAGGUUUAUUCUUAGCCUAGAAGCCGCCUCAAACCAAGCCAAAAUCCAGCUUAAAGAGGUUAGAUACUCUUUCCUUGCUUCACAAAAGAUGAUUGUGUCAUCAGCAAAAAGUAGAUGAGAGACAUCCAUCUCCAUCCUCCCUCUUCCCCGAAGGCUGCAACUUGAGAUGAACCCCCCAACAACAGCCCUUCUUAUGAGUGCACUUAGCACUUCCAUACCCAGGACAAAGAGGUAAGGAGAUAAAGGAUCUCCUUAACGCAGCCCCUUGGAACUUGAGAAGAAGCCUGCUAGCACCCCAUUGACCAGGAUAGAAAAUUUGGCAGUUGAAAUGCACCACCAAAUCCACUCCAUCCAUCGAGACCCAAAACUCAUCUUGUGCAAGACCUUCAUGAGAAAAUUCCAAUUAAUGCUAUCGUAGGCUUUUUCAAUGUCCAAUUUGCAAAUCAGCCCUUUCUCCUUACGCUUGUGCCAAAAGUCGAUCACCUCAUUAGCUAUAAGCGAGGCAUCCAAAAUCUGUCUGCCCCUCACAAAGGCAUUCUGGUCCUUAGAAACCACCUUUCCUAGGACCUUCAGCCUAUUCGCCAAAACCUUGGCCAAGAGUUUGUACAGUCCCCCUAAUAGGCUGAUAGGCCGAAAGUCCCCAAGGUCCUCAGCUCCCCCUUUCUUUGGAAUUAGGAUCAGGAAAGUGAUGUUGAAGCUUUUGGCAAAAGAUUUUUGCUCAAAAAACUCCUUGAACAGAUCCACAAUCUCCUCCUUCACAAAGUCCCAACAAAAUUGCCAAAAGGCCAUUGUAAACCCAUCCAGUCCAAGAGCUUUGUCAUCAUUCAUGUCCAACAAGGCAGAGUGGAUCUCUUCCUCAGUGAAUGGCAACUCCAAGCCUUCAGCUUCACUAGAAUUUAGACUUUAGAGGUGCAACCCCUCAAUAUCAGCUUUCCAGCCUGGCUCUUCAAAGAGCAGUUGCUGAAAAGCGUUCACAAUCCCCUCCCUCACCUCCUGCUCCUCGGUCCUCCACACCCCAUUAAUUUUAAUUCUGUCCAGGGAAUUGUUUCUUCGGUGGGCAUUGGUCAUCUGGAGAAAGAAUCCUGUAUUCUUGUCCCCUUCCUUCAGCUACAACUCCCUCGACACUUGUCUCCAAUGGGUUUCUUCCAGCAGAACCCACUUUUUGAAAGUUUCCUUAGCUUGUUUUUUCAUCUUCGUUUCCCUUACUGAGAGGCUCUUUUCACUUUCCACCCUAUCCCAGAACUCGACCUGCUGGAGAGCCAAGUUUUUGUUAACUUCCAGUCUUCCAAACACAUCCCUAUUCCAGUCUUUGAUUUUCUGUUUCAGCACCUUUAGCUUAGAGGCCAAUCUAAAACUAGCCUUCCCACUCACCCCAGACUCCUGCCACCAUCCUCGAAGAAGGUCCUUAAACCCAUCCACUUUCAGCCACAUGUUUUCAAACCUAAACGUUCAAUCUCCCAUGUUGAUCUUGAUUCAAAGAUGGUGAUCUCUACUCUUGAUUCAAGCUUGAUCUUAAUUUUUCUUCUUUGAGAAUCUUCUUGAAAUUUAAGAAGAAACUUGAACUUGAAGCAAAUUUAGAGAAUGCUGGAAGACAUUUGUGAUAUCCUGCAAAGCUUUGUUCUUCUUCUUCUUUUUUUUUUUUUUUUUCCUUCUCGAAUAAUUUCUCUAUUUAUAGAAUUAUGGAUAAGGAGGUAAAUUGAUUUCAUAAUUCAAAUAAUUUAUUUGAAUUUAAGAUUUAGAUGUUUUCUAAUUAUGACACAUGUUAUAAGAUUUGGGCCCACCUUUUUUUUUUGUGUGUUUACACCAUCUUUAUUCUUUCUUUUGGUAAGAGACCAGGCACCAACAUUGCAUCACUCUUACAAUACAUGGACAUCUAGUUCCUACUGGAUUUUAAAAUCAAUAUUCUAGCACUCUCACACUUGCUUUCUUCCAUGUAGCAGCUACACGAACAAUUGGUCUUGAAUGUUAAAAAAGUACCUGUGCUUCUCAAUGUGUGCCUGUGCUGCAGCAUCCAAUUUGACUGGCCCCGAUGCAUCUGCCUUUAUAGUAUCAUGAGAUCUAUCUUCAAAUUUUGAAGCAGGCCUGUUCAGUGAACCAAAUGAUUCAAAAAAUAAAACAAGAUAAGGGAAACAACAAAGAAAGAAAGGUCUGGUUAUUGUCCUGCUAAGCCCAAUAAUAAGAGUUUCACUUACACAAAUCUCCUUCGCAAUCCUGGGGAAAGGGGCAUGUGAUCCUCUUCUUCAGUUUUAGAAGUGCCUUCCUUGCCAGAAGUACCAGAAAAAGGCUCCUGGGAAACUUGCACAUUGGACUAGAAAGUUUCCAAGAAAGAGAAUUUAUUAGAAACAAGAACCACCAUAUCAAGUUUGUAAGAUUGAUUUAGGGAUUGUAAAGAAAAUAUCAUAAAACUUCAUAAUUCAAAAACCAGAAGCAUCAGAGAAGGAGAGAGAGAGGGAGAGCAGGAAAGAGAGAUAGAGAGGGAGAGCAGGAAAGAGAGAGAGAGAGCAGCAAGCACUAAGAAUUCUAGUACUUAACAAAAUGGACAGCAGCAAGCACCAGUGAUGUUGAUGGCCAAUUUAUGGGAAUUGGAAAAUUAGAAAAGAUGUUGACAUAUACAUGGAUUCCAGUUAUUGCGAUUAUGAUACUCAAUUCCUCUUCAUUAAGAUUCAUGCAUUUAAAAUGAUGGGAAAAUCACAUUUUUUAAGUAUGGGAUUUGGUAGGAUCUCAAACUACCCAAUACACCCUAUAGUGCCCUUCCCUAAAUGGUGAAUCAACCAAGGUGCCUAACAUUUCUUUGCUAAAAAUACUCUUAUACUUAUAAUUUAUAAGUACAAAAUGACACCAUUGCACCUACAUGCAUAAAUAGAUGUAAUAAACUUUUCAAUUAAAAUUUGUGUGCAAAAACUAACAGUUUUAAACAAAGAAACUGUCAUAAAUAAUUAAUAUAUCCCUGUUAUUGUGUAACUAACAGUUAGAAGGAGCCUGUGCCCUCUCUUCCCAAGGAUUUCUCUCAUACAGAGGCGAUCAUAUACUUCUUAAAAGCUAGAUUCCUACAUCUAGAGUAACUUUUUACCAGCCUAUCCAUUAAAAUGUCACCAAAACAAACAAAUAAAUAAAUAAAUAGGUAAGAACCGUAGGUAACAUCCAACCAAUAAUGAAAUCUACAUCCUCUCUCCCCCAAGGAUUUCUCUCAUGUAAAGGUAAUUAUAUAUUUCUUAAAAGCUAAAUUUCUGCAACUAGAGUAAUUUUGACAUAAGUCAAUCCCAGAAUAAAAACCAUAGGUAAAUAACCACAGCUGAUGACAGGUGCCUGCAUUAUGAUGUUACCAUAUAGCCACUUGAUGUAAUCAUCUUUAUCAUAUAUAUUGUGAUUGCUGUCCUAAUUUCAUCAUUAAUUUUCCUACUGAGAGCAACCUCAACCUACAGAGCAAGAAUACUCCUCUUUUAGCCUUUUCAUGCAUGUGGACCAGACACAUCCACAGACACAAUUAUAGCUCAAUUAAACAUUUCUCGGCAUAAACACCUAUGUCAUUGUUAUAUAUAAGAAAAAUGCACAUACAGAAAAAGUUAAAAUGGUUGCACAAGAACUAUGUCUGACAAAAUCCAUACUCUUAAAGAAGCAAGAAGUUGACAUCUACCUAUACAUAGAAAGGAAACAGAAUGCUGAGGAAGCCUUUCAGGCCUUCCCUCCCUUGAUCCUUAAUCUCAGGAUUACCCCAAAUCCCUUCACUUUUGCUACUCUUAUCCAUCUGUUUUAUUUAUGCAACUCCUGUAAUUCAUAAACACUGCAAAUGCAGCAAAUCUUCAGGCAGUUAGGACUACUCUUAAUCAAAUUGAGCAGCCAUGUGCAGUUCAACCACUUGUUCCUCCUAUUAGCAUAACAAAAAAUUUGAAUUAAUAAGGGAACUUUCUGUUCUGUCUCUUAGUGAGCAUUACCUAACCAACCAUAUGGGGUUUGGACCCUUUUUAAUUGAUGUGUGCAAUUUAUGUUCAAUUAACUACUGCCAUGGCCCCAAUGCCUCAUGCAGAUUCCCUGAUAAGGAAGAUUUAGAAAUUUACUGCAAACUAUGUUCAAUCAAAAUUGAAAACAACCAAAUAUUACUUAUUUUGCAUGUAAAAUUGUAAAUAGUCACAAUGUAAAAGAAAAUCAAAAUACACACCGAUGGAGAACCUAUUUUGGAAGCAAUAGCUUCGAUCUUCUCUGAAUAUUCAUUCACCUUCGGUUUUGAAACUCUACAAAAGCAUUACAAAAAGAAGAAAUAAAUUUAUGGUUUAAUUGAGAAACUUGUCUCACAAUACCAGGACACAGUAAACAGGAUUAAUAGAACACGAAAAGGCAUAAUCAGAGCCCCCAAAGCCUGGUCAAUUAGUAAGGGCUAGACUGGGGAAGAGGAAGUUCCAGGUUUGAUGCCAUGUGCCCAGAAUAAUUUAUUUUUUUUAGAUGUUAUGUUAGAAAAAUAAAAAAUAAAAAAAAAAGGCAUAAUUAUCAUGAAAAAGAAAUACAAUGAGCUACAUUGUUGUUAAAUGGAAAACACAUAUCACAUUACCAGAAAACACAUUAGCACCAUGUAUAAAAAUGAGCCACAUUAAAAUUUUAAUCACAAGUUAAGCUAGUUUGAGAGCUCCUUAGACAGUCAUCAAGAAGUGGCCUGGAAAAGUAGUUACUACAUAUAAACCAAUAUAUAUUAGAUGGUGUAUGUCAAUCCAUAUCAUCAAAUACUCAAUAUCUAAUCAAAUGCCAAGAGAAAAUUCACUUGUCUAAUAAAGAACUUUCAUUGAAGAAGACAAAAGUGCACAAACACAAGAAGCAAUGAGGAUAAACAGCAAAAUGGAAGUAAGAGACCAAGACUUCCUUGAGAACCUACACAAAAAAGCAAGAGAAAAAACUUUACAAACUUGUGCAUCUAGCAGCAAUUUUUAUUGCACUUCCACUCCACAAAGAUCAUUUGAUUCCAUUUAUAGAUAGAGGAUUCUCAUGCAUCAUGCUGAAGAGACCAGGAAGCAUAUAGUUUGUGGUACAUAAGAGAGAAUAGGACGAGAGGAAAUAAAGGAGAAAGAGGAGAAGAUGAAACCCUUUGUCUGAGACUGUGUUAGGGACAACCUCUUGCUCCUUGGAACACAGGCCCACUCAGCUAGAGAAUAGUCCCAAUUAACUCAAACACACGGGACAUUAGUAAUGAUCAGUGACCACCCAAAUUCAAAUUUCCAAGUCUUAUUAUACCAGAUAUAGAGCACACUUGCUCUUAACUUGGGCAGCAAAUUAUCCUAAGAACUUCUCUAUUUUCUAUAAAACCAGAAAGCAUGUAACGGUAAAAAUUUGAUCACUUCUGCCAACACCUUAAUUGCACCAGACUGAUGCAUGAUGAGAUGCACCAUUGAUGACAUCAAGCUUAUUAUAAAUCUUCUUGGAUUUGAAGUUUGUUGAUUUUUUUUUUAGGUAAGUUGUAAAUAUCCCUAAAAUAGAUGAGUAUUAUCGUCUAUAUAUAUAGAGGGGAAUAUAAUCAGUAUUUAUAUAAUGGAAUGUUGAGUUUUUUUUCCUUCCACAUCGAUAUGGUAUUAAAGCAUUCUCUGAACCCUAAUUCCCUCAUAUGACCAAAUACGGCAAACGUGAUCCAACUGCUACCGUUUCCCAAAUCACCUCCAAUCAAGAAGCCAUGGCUUCUAGCAACAGUAGUGCACAUAGUAACCUCAUGCCCAUUACAGGACAAACUGAAUGGGAACAACUAUCUCCAAUGGUCCCGUUCCGUAAUGAUGUUCAUAUGCAGAAAGGGCAAAGACGAUUAUCUCAAUGGAGUUGCUGCCAAACCAAACAAGACAGAUGAAAAGUUCAAAGUCUGGAAUGUUGAAAAUAACAUGGUCAUGUCAUGGCUCAUUAAUUCCAUGACAAAUGACAUUGGAGAAAAUUUUCUUCUCUAUGGAACAGCAAAGGAGAUUUGGGAUGCUGCCAAGGAAACGUAUUCUAACAAUGAGAAUACGUCGGAAUUGUUCGAGGUGGAGAGUGUUCUCCAUGACUUCCGUCAAGGAGAGUUAACGGUGACUCAGUACUUCAACACACUCAAUCACUACUGGCAGCAACUGGACUUGUUCGAGGAGCACAAUUGGAGCUAUCCGGGUGAUGGAAUCAGGUACAGACAGAUUAUUGAACGGAAAAGAAUAUACAAAUUUCUGAUUGGAUUAAAUAAGAAUCUCGAUGAAGCACGAGGAAGAAUCUUAGGAUCCAAACCACUACUAAAUAUUCAGGAAGCAUUUUCAGAAGUUCGGAGAGAGGAAAGUCGAAAGAAGAUCAUGAUGGGCUCUCAAGAUUCUGUGACAAAUCCUGAGAGCUCAACCCUUGCAGUUAAAGGAAAUCCAUCCAACAACAAUGAUCACAGACCAAAGAAAGGGCGACCAUGGUGUGAUCAUUGUCAACGUCCUGGUCACACCAAGGACACCUGCUGGAAGAUUCACGGCAAACCUGCAGAAUGGAAGCCUUCCCGGUUUGCCAAUGACAAAGAAAGACGGGGCAACCUUGUCUCCAUGGAUGAAAAACCCUCACCUUAACCCACUCCCUUUAGCAAGGAACAAAUAGAAGUCUUACAGAAAUUGUUCAGCCAAUCCUUGCCUGCACCUGCCCCCACUGUGGUUGGUACUGGUUCCUUGGCACAAAAAGGUAAUUUUUUGAGUGCUCUAAAUGUUAAAAAGGAGAAGCUAAGUCCAUGGAUUAUAGAUUCAGGAGCAUCUGAUCAUAUGACUGGGGAUGAGAAGCUUUUUUCCACUUACGAUCCAUGCUAUAAAAAUUUAACUGUGAGAAUAGCCGAUGGUUCACUCUCAAAGGUGGUUGGUACAAGUUCUGUUAAAGUUUCAAAGAACAUCACUCUUGAUUCAAUUCUCCUUGUGCCAAAAUUAAAUUGUAAUUUACUGUCCAUUAGUAAACUCACUCGGGAUCUCAACUGUGUUACUAAAUUUGGCUCAAAUCUGUGUGAAUUUCAGGUCUUGGACUUGGGGAAGACGAUUGGCAGUGCUAAGAUGUGUUCGGGGCUCUUUCUUCUAGAGGUUAAUGAUCCUCCUCAAGGAGCAACUCAUCAUUCUGAUUGUUCAGUGUCCAAUAGUCCUAUUUCUUUGUCUGUGAGUCAGUCUAAUAAUGAUAGUGCAAUUAUGUUGUGGCACUAUAGGUCAAGUCAUCCAAAUUUCUUAUAUCUUGAGAAGUUGUUUCCUUCAUUAUUCCAUAAUAAAAAUCCAAAUGAGUUUCAAUGUGAGAUCUGUCAAUUUUCUAAACAUAUUCGUAAUUCUUAUCCUAACCGAUCCUACAAAGCAUCUCAACCUUUUCCAUGAUUAAUAGUGAUGUAUGGGGUCCUUCUAGGAUCAAAAGUGUUACUGGUUCUCACUGGUUCAUUUCAUUUAUUGAUGAUCACACUACACUCACAUGGGUAUUCCUCAUGAAAGAAAAAUCAGAGGUAAACCAGAUUUUCAAAACCUUCAACACCAUGAUCCAAACACAAUUCCAAGCAAAAAUCCAAAUUCUGAAAACUGACAAUGCCAAAGAGUAUUUCAACUCCAUUCUUAAUGAUUAUCUCUUGAGUCAUGGUAUAGUUCACCAAAGUUCCUGUGUCAACACUCCUCAACAAAAUGGUAUUGCCGAAAGAAAAAACUGGCAUCUUCUUAUUGUUGCUCGCUCCCUAAUGUUCUCUACCCAUGUACCAAAAUUUUUCUGGGGUGAAGCCAUCCUCACUGCCGCCUAUCUCAUAAAUAGGAUGCCAUCUCGUAUUCUCGACUUCCAGACUCCCUAUCAAAUUCUUCUUCAGUCCUUUCCCAAUACUCGUCUCAUCUCUCCAAUCCCGUUCAAAGUUUUCGGGCACUCAACUUUUGUCCAUGUCCAUCAACAACACAGGGACAAACUUGAUCUUAGAGCUCUUAAAUGUAUUUUCCUUGGGUACACUCCAACUCAAAAAGGAUAUAAGUGCUACUCAUUGGUCACUAAACAGUUCUAUCACUCCAUGGAUGUCACCUCCUUUGAGCAACAACCUUAUUUCUCCAAAUCUGAUAUUCAAGGGGAGACUAAUUUUAUCUAGGAAUACCAGCUUUGGGAUAUUGAAGAAUCAUCUCAUUUCUCUCCUAAUUCUGACCAACCCUGCCAUCACUAAAUCAUGAAUCCAUUCCUCCUCAAAAUCUCUUCCUUGAAUCUCCUUACUUCCUAGAAUCUCCUUCUCAAGAUCAAACCAACAAUCCGCCUACUAAUCCACCUCCUCAAAAUCUGGACACUAUUCAAUCAACAAAGAAUGAUGAGUUGAUUACCUACUCAAGAAGGAGAAAGAACCAAAAGGAGAUGGAACAACAAGCAUCUCUUGAGCAACCCUAAGAGUCUGACCCAAGUUCUAGAUCAAGUGAAGAUCCAUCAGGUAACUAUAAUCCCGAAACUAAUGAUGAUAGUGACUUUCCUAUUGUUGUGAGAAAAUGUGUAAGAUCAUGCACAAAACACCCUAUAUACACAUUUGUGUCAUAUAAAGGACUGUCACCGAAGUUCAAAACAUUUGUUGCUAACCUCGACAACACCCAGAUUCCUAAUAAUAUACAAGAAGAUCUCAGCUCACCUGAGUGGAAAUCAGCAGUGUAUGAAAAAAUUCAUGCACUUGAAAAAAAUGGAACCUGAGAAAUCUCAGAAUUACCAGCCAGAAAACGUCCAGUAGGCUGCAAAUGGAUCUUCACAGUCAAAUAUAAUGAAGAUGGGAGUGUUAAUCGAUUCAAGGCACGGCUGGUUGCAAAGGGAUUCACCCAAUCAUACAGAAUUGACUAUGAGGAGACAUUUGCCCCUAUAACCAAGUUAAACACAGCUCUGGUUCUACUAUCUUUGGCUGCAAACCUUGACUGGCCUCUCCACCAACUAGAUGUCAAGAAUGAAUUCCUAAAUGGGGACCUAGCUGAAGAAGUUUACAUGGAAAUUCCUCCAAGAUUUGAGACACAAACUACACGCAACAAAGUUUGUAAACUUAGGAGAUCUCUAUAUGGGCUCAAGCAAUCUCCAAGAGUCUGGUUUGAAAGAUUCACAGAGGUAGUUAAGAAACAUGGCUACUCCCAAUGUCAGACGGACCAUACUCUAUUUGUUAAACACUCUCCUGCAGGAAAGCUUGUUGUCCUCAUUGUAUAUGUGGAUGACAUAAUUCUAACGGGAGAUUAUGAAGAGGAAAUCUGCACCAUCAAAAGUUUUCUAGUUGCAGAAUUCGAGAUCAAGGACCUUGGGAAUCUCAAAUACUUCCUAGGUAUGGAGAUUGCAAGGUCAAGAAAGGGAAUCUCUAUCUCACAAGAAAAUAUGUCCUGGAUCUCUUAAAAGAGACUGGAAUGCUUGGGUGUAAGCCAGCAGAUACUCCUAUGGAUCCAAUAACCAAACUAGGAGCUAAGGAAAAUUGUGCACCCAUGGAUAAAGGGAGAUACCAAAGAUUAGUGGGUAAACUAAUAUACCUAUCUCACACAUGACUGGAUAUUGGUUUUUCUGUCAGCAUGGUAAGUCAAUUCAUGAAUAAUCCAAAUGAAGAACACAUGGAGGUUGUGUAUAGAAUCUUGAGAUACUUGAAACUAACACCAGGUAAAGGAUUAUUUUUUGAGAACCAAAGAAGAGAUAUUGAAGUGUUCAACGAUGCAGAUUGGACAGGAUCAGUACAAGACCGAAGAUCAACUUUAGGGUACUGCACAUAUGUGUGGGGUAAUCUAGUCACAUGGAGAAGUAAGAAGCAAUCGAUGGUGUCAAGAAGCAAUGCAGAAGCUGAAUUCCGAGCAAUGGCACACGACAUUUGUGAGGGAAUAUGGUUAAGAAGGGUGCUAAAGGAAUUAAAGAUUUCAGAUGAAGAACCUAUGAAAAUGUUCUAUGAUAAUCAGUCAGCAAUCAACAUUGCAAAAAAUCCAGUACAUCAUGAUAGAACAAAACAUGUGUAAAUUGAUCGACAUUUCAUAAAGGAGAAGAUAGAGGAAGGAAUAAUCAAGAUGUUGUACGUGCCUACAUGCCUUCAAACAGCUAACAUUCUUACCAAGGCUCUACCGAGAAAGGUGUUUGAUGAUCUGAGUUCCAAGCUGGGGUUAAUAAAUAUUUACCGCCCAGCCUGAGGGGGAGUAUAGAAUUAUAGGAAGAUUUAAUUUGAUGAUCUGUCAGCAAUGUUAGGGGCUAAGAUUGAGGUAGUUUUGAUUUUUUUUUAGGUAAGUUGUAAAUAUCCCUAAAAUAGAUGAGUGUUAUCAUCUAUAUAUAUAAAGGGGAAUGUAAUCAGUAUUUAUAUAGUGGAAUGUUGAGUUUUUUUUCCUUCCACAUCGAUACUAUACAAUCCUAAAGCAUCACUACAGAAAGUAAAAAUAAAAGAAACUAAAUACCACCUAAUCAAAUCUUAAAGUGUAUUGCACUCCUUUUAUCCACAGCAUAAUCAAUUAUUCCGGUGAAGCUCAAAAUCUUUGGGCCCUCUUAAAAUGCCUUCACCACUGCUUCAUUGUUUCAAAUCUCCAAGGUUCAUAUUGAUCAAAAAAAAAAAAAAAUCCCCAAGGUUCACAACUCAUGAAUACAACAUCAAUAAUCCCUUAUUUCUUACAAACAAUCCAGCACAAGAACCAAAAAGGAUUGCUAAUCGCAAUUUAACUUCAUAGCACAGAGUGAGAGUUUAAGAAUGAUGAUCCUUUUAAAAAAUUAAUGUCCAGAAGAUGAGAAAGGGUACAUUUACUACAGUUACAUAAUAGACUUUAUGAUACAACCAGAGUAAACCAAAAAUAACAAAAUAUCAGUGUCCUCUAUGCUAGUGCAAAGAUGGAGGAUGCAACCAAAACUUUCCUGCACAAUUAAGCAUAAAUUCCUCCACCCCUAUCAACAACCUAGACAAAGGGUGGCACUGACAACAAGCACCUUGGUAAGGUCUUUCUGAAGAACAUGAACAUAGGAAUGUAUAUGCUUAUGGGUGCAUACCAUUAAUACAAGCGCAUAUGUGCACAUGCAGAAAAAUCACAAUGGUAUCAUAGAUGAACACAUACUGGAAGCACGAGCAUGUUAGCAUAUGUUUGCUUCUCAAAGUAACACAGAGUAGGAGGGGAAAAAAAGAGUAAGCAGACAGACCUUGGUAAUCCUUCUAGAGUUCUCUCUUCAGUCAAUUGUUCUAAUUGUUCUCGUAAAGUAGCAACAUACUGCAAAGUUCCAUUAAUUAUCAAUCAAAAAUGGUAAAUGAAUAUACAUAUACAUGUAAAUUAAGACAAAAAAACCAAACAACUACUGAACCAAUCCCACUCAAAUACGAUCAAACAUAACAUGCAAUCAAUGAUGCUAAUGAAACAAAGAAAACAGUUUUAUCAAUUAAAUUAUUCAGUUCAAACUUUCAAACACCAAGGUAUAGAACAUGUUUCAACAGAGAUCAAAAGCAGAUAAAGCAACCAAAAUAUUCAGAUCGCACUCUUCACACUAAAAGAAAAAAAUGUGCACAAAUCAUUAGAAAAUGAAUCUUUGAUUUGAGAGAUCUCUGGACAUGCAAAGAAACAUACAUGUAUAAGCUUUGCCUGAUUUUGUUGCUGAGGUGCGGCUGCAAGCAACCUCCUCAAGUUUACUUCAGUUCUACUGAUACCCAUUACAAGACCCUGCAGCAUUGAACAGACAAAUCAGAUGCAACCCAACAAUAUCAACAAACCAAAAUAACCUCCUACUGCAUUACAUGCACUAUGCUAGUUCUUCUUCGGGCAAGGCCAAAAUUCGGAAGCAAACCAGGGCAGAACCCAUUAGUCAUUUGGACCUAAGUAUAUAAAGAUCUUGUAUUGACUGCAAUUGACAAACAUGCUCCAUUAACAUCUAAGAGGAACAGUCUGAAGAAUCGUUAAACAGAAGAAAGGGAUUUUUCAUUAGAUGUUUCACAAGGGAACAAAAGGACAGAGAUUAAAGCAGGCAUCCAGAUGUUCAAACCCACAAAUACAACUGAAACAAUUGGGUUCAUGAAGCUACAGGAGGACUUAAAAAUCAUGCAACCACAAUGUAUAUUUUACCCAAAAUAACAACAAACAGAUCAUUGAACAUUAUCCAAAGCCGACUCAAAUGCUCAAUCUGAGUAUAUUGAAAUUAUAGUUGGAUUGAGAUGUUACAUAAUUAAUGCUACGCUAGAUUACAUGUCUAAAAAAAUUUCUCUGCACCAUGCAAAUUCAUAGUAAAAAAGAGGAAUUUUAGGAAAACAAAUAAUUAUAAACCUCAUGAAACUGCAAUUCAGUGAAAAUUAGGAAAAACUCGAGAAAAACCCAUCUCAUGAAAUAAGAAAAUCUGAAAAGCUGCUACAAGAGAAAGCGUAAAAUCAAAUUUAACUACUGGAAAAAGUUUCAUCACACACAUUUUCAUUUCAGAAGAGAAGUCGAAACUUCCAAUAAGAACAAGAUACAAAAUCAAUUUCCGAAAACCCAAAUCAUCCUUGUCUUUCCAAACCCAUCAACAGUAUGGGCACAUAAAUCCUCACGGAUCGAGGAAAAAAAGAAAAUAAAUAAAUAAAAACUAAAAAAUUCUUAGAGAAGCCUAGGUGUGUUUAUCUACACUCUACAAAACAGAAAAGGAAAAAAUCGAAAAAUUUACCUGUGGAUAUCUCCCUGAUCAUUAACACCCUCGCCGAUGGCUUGCGUUCAGCCUGUCUUUCACACCAGGCUUUCACAUUUGCAGGCGCUUAUCUUUCAGUUUCUUCUUCGUCCUUUUUUUCUUUUUUUCCUUUUUUCCUCUGUUGGUUUUUAAGGGCAUGUUUGGUUUCCAAAAUGGUUAUUUGAUUAGAAGGGUUAUUGAAAGUAAAUAAUGAAAUUUGGGCUGUUUGAUGAUUGUAGAAAUAAAAACAAAGUAUACAAAAAUUAGAUUGAAAAAAUGAUAUCAAAAUACAAAACAAUAUAAUGUAAAUAGGAUAUGAAGGACUUAGUGUUAGACUUAAGUAUGGGUCACUCAAAUGAUGACUUUGGCUUUACCAGAUGCAAUGUUGAAUGUCAUGAAAUUUUUAGUUCACCUUUAUCAAACACCAAUUGAUUCUUAAAUAAUAUAAUUAAAGUUCGAUCAAAAGAUUGGUAUAAAAAAAUCAAGAGUCAUGGGUUUGAGCUACAGGAGUGUAAUGUUGGGAAGGAUUGUCGGGUGAUGACUUUACUGCUCUUAAUAAAAAAUGAUGGGUCGCCUUAUGAUACCUCUUAAAACCAGCAAUGGACAUUAAUUAAUUUUUGGAUGGCAUCAUCAAAAUCCAAUCCAAAAAAUAGGACCCAAGUUGGGUACAAAGCAAUGGAUUGGAUAUUGAUUAGUUUUUAAAUGAAAUUGUCAAAACCUAAUGUAAUAUCUCAUAUUUGAUACAGGAAAAGGUUGUUGGCAUUAUAUAUAUGUGUGUGUAUAAGAGCUCAUUUUAAUCAUGUAAACUCGUUUUAAAGUUGUGAAGAUCUUUGAACUAAGAACGGAUAAUGAUUGGGAGCAAAUCAUUACAAAUAAUAUCAUAUUCAAUCCCUGAUUCUUGUAUAAGAGUUUAUUUUGUCCUACAAAAUUUAUUUGUUUAUUCAAGCCCACGAUUCUAUAAGAUACAAAGAAAACAUUAUCUCUAUAUGACAGUGAUUAUGAUAUCUCGUAUUGAAUACGGAAAACGCUUGUAUGGAUUCCUCUUAACCAUAUAGGCGCAUUUAAAGUUAUGAGGGUCCUCUUGGUCCUAGAGUGGAUAAUAUCCACACAACCCUUGAGCCUAAGGUGAAUAAUAUCUACAUGACUCUUUGAUAUAUGUACAGAAUAAAGUUUGUAGACUUUUUCCUUCUUGAAUAUCCUUAUUAGAUCACUAACUAUCCCUCGUUUACAUAUUUAUUAUUUAACCAUAUCAAUCAUUAAGAAAUUUUAUAAAACAUAUUCUUUUAAUUUAUUUAAGCCUUGUUUGACAAGAUAUCAUUAUAUGCAUAUUUUAUGAUAUCGUUACAAACCAUCAUAAAAUUUAAUUUCAAAUGGAAUAUGUUAUACCAUACUUACAUUUAAUUUAUUCAAGAAAUAAAAAUAAAAUAAAAGACAUAUUGUAUUUUAAUAUCCAAUAAAAAUUAUAUUGCAUCUUAAUAUUUACCAUUAGAAAAAAGAAUGAAAUCUCUUAUAAUACUUAGUAUCAUUUGAAAAUCAUUCUACGAUUUAUUGUUUAGCAAGUAGUUUUUUUAUUUCUUUGUUUGUAAUAUUCAUGGUUAAGAUAUGUAGAAUUUAUAAAUAAAAAAAUAUUAUAUUAAAUAAUACUCAUAGUAUUGUUAUUUUAUUAUUGUAUUUUAUAGAUAUAUAUAUUUUUAAUUAUUUUCUAUUUCCAACUAUAACUAUAUUUAAUAUUUUUUUCAUUGUAUCCUUUUGGACAUUUAGUAAGUAGUUUUUUAUACUUAAAAUUUAUAAAUAAAAAAUAUUAUAUUAUGUUAUUAAAUAUACAAAAUUAUUUUGUAUAUAUUAAAUGUUACAUAACUUUAUAUUUUAAUAUUUUUAAUUGUUUUUUCAAAGUGCAAAUUUAAUUCCCUAAUCAUAUUUUUUUUUUUGUUAUGUAAAAUAAGUGAUAUAAAAAAAAUAAAUAAAUAAAAUUAAUGAAAAUAAUAAAUUUAUAAUUUAUGUGAGACUGUGAUGAAGUCUCGCUCUUGUAGAAGUUGUAUUUAUCUUGAAUAUUCGAAAUAAAUAUUGACUCAAUUAGAUCAAAGAAGAUUCAACAAAAACAACAUUAAAAUAAAUUAAACUUAGAUUAAAUAAACUCAACAUUAAUGGUAUUAAUCAAAUUCAAACCAUUACAAAAAUAAAUCAUAAAUAAAUAAAAUAGAAAAACAAUUCAAAAUUACUCCCAAUUCAAUAUUCACACACCCUUCAACAAUUAAUGUAAUAUAUAAUAAUUUUGUAUAUAGAAAAAAUUAUUAUUGAAAACUCUAUUCUCUGAAUGUACAAUUAAAAGAAAAAAAUUAUCAAUUAACUACUAGUUAUGAUCGUAAUAGUUUUUAUAAAUGGAAUAUAGAUGGUAUGAGUGAACAUUAAAUAAUCAAUUUAUUUCAUGAAAUGAUGAUGAUUAUUAAUGCCUAUAAAAUCAAAACUAAUAAUUAUGAUUUUCAUGUUGUCGAUGCCUCGGGGUUUACCAAUUUGCUUAAAGGAUGAUGAUGAUAGAUAAUACAUAUUAAAUGCACAAAAGGCAAUAGUAAACUAAGAAGUAACACCGGUUCAAACUUAUUAAGAAUAUUCUAUUAAUAUUCUAAUAUUUGCAACAAUAAAACAUUUUAUAGGAGAUUCAGUUUAUUUUCAAUAAAUAAUUUUAAAAUUUUUCAAUGUCUAAAACUUCAAAAUGAGUUCUUAUGGGAAUCAAUGAAUCCUUUCUAGAAUAUAAAGUUGAUGAAAGAUAAGGGGAGAUAUUUAUAUUCAAGAACGAAGAACUUUUGUAGGUAUCAUUAGUAAAGUGCUCAAUAAUUAAUAUGGACAAGAAAUAUUACCUUGGACAAUAGUGUGUUACAACACUUCGGACACUACCAAUUACAUUUUUUUACAUGCAUUGUACCAAUAAAUGAUCACCAUUAAACCAAUGGAAGUCACCAUAAUAACUCAUCACCGUAAACAAUAAUCAAUACACUAAAAAGGUACUAAAAUAAGAAAAAGAAUGUUUUGUUUCAACUUGAAAAAAUACGAAAGAAAACCAUAUAUAAUUAAAAUUAAUUAUAAGACGGAAAAUAAGUGAAAUUAGUAUGAAAUAACAUAAAAUAAUUUAUUAAAUUUAAUUUAAUUUUUAAGUUUUAUUUUUCUUCAUUUUUUAUUUUUUUACAUUUUUUUUCUUUCCCUU
rnacentral:lncRNA from 1 species